rnacentral:lncRNA from 1 species
UUGUUUUUUUUGUGUGUCAAAUGCAUGCAACUGCAACCGUUAGCAAAUGUAAUAAAACCAAUCUACCAUUUAGAAAGAAAGAAAUAUAGAAGAUACUUUCCCAUCCAAAUAUGAUAAUAAUCACGGAUUAGCACUUGUAUCCGGUAACGGAUUUUUCAAAAUCGAAGGUUACUAAGUUAGAGAUCAAACACUGAGUAUUUUUGGGAGUGGGCAUGCCUGCCUGCCCUUCACAGGAGAUUCCUGCUAAUCCAUCACACAUUAACUAAACGUCUACGCGCGUGUUCCAAACAAAGUGGUUUACACGUUCCUAAUGACAACUGAACUCAGACGUAUAAAGGUCAGAGGGAUGCGAUCCCCUUUCUCUAGGUCGACGAAUGCUCUAUUUUUUUUUUGUUUAUCUCAAUCAAAUUGUGGAUAUUGAUUGACAAUCAAAGAUAUUCAAAGCUUGACAAUGUCAAAGGAUGUAUUAAAAUCUUUUGCCAAACAAAUAAUAAAAGUCAUGGAUGUAUUAAUAGCUGGCUAGUUAAAUUAUUUCUGUUAAUUAAAAGGCUAAAGUUUUGACUUUUGAUCUGCAAGCUAGCGGAGGGCACUUAAACGACAUAUACGUAUCACAUUCUAUAAAAUGAACUCAGAUUCCCAAAGACGACCAUACCAGAUACAUUACGACUUAGAUAUAUAAUAAAAAUGCCUUGUAAGUUUUUUUCCUUUAAUCAUAUUGUGUUAUUUUUUUGAGAAAUUCCCUAACAUAAUUUUUUUUUUUAAUUUUUGUCGUAAAAAUAACUGUCAAUGAAAAAAAUGACCGAAAUAAAUUUUAUUAAUUUAACCUUAUAAUUAACUAAUCUAGACUUAAGAUUUAGAGUUAAGGGGCGAUAUUUUGGGGAUAGAGUUUCAAAUUUUAAGAAAAUAAAAAAUUAAAAUUUUCAAAAUAAAAAAAUGCUAUUUUGGUCAUUUUAUUUUUUGAGAACUAUUUUGUGACAAAAACUUAAAAAAACUAUUUGAGAGAAUUGCCCUAUUUUUUUUUGGUGCAACAUCAUAUUGUGUUAUUGGUUACCGCUUUUAUUGGUUUGUUCAUCCUAUUUUUUACCUUCUAAUCAAAUGCCUCUUUUUGUUAUUUUUCUAAACUAAUAUUUUCUUAGUUACGCUGACUAAUCUCUCCUUUUGUUUUUCAUGUUCACGUGCUAUGUUAUGAUGUAACAAUUAAUCUAAUUAUAUCAGUUUAUAUGUGUUAUUGUGGAUGGAUCUCUAAAAUGCCAAACGUAACUAAAUGAUCGAUAUAAUUAAUUAACGUACGUCGUAGCUUUGACUUCAUGUAGUGAAGACGUGGCCGGAGCUUGUGGGAACACAUGGAGACGAUGCGGCUUCAGUGAUAAAAAGAGAGAACCCGAGCUUUAAUGUUUUCGUGCUUUAGAUUGGAAGUAUAGUGACUGCAGACUUAAGGGAGAACCGGGUCAGAGUUUGGGUACUCAUAUAUGGACCACAAUUACUCUAUAGCGUAAUGCCAAUAAAACAAACUUAUCAAAAAAAAAAAAUGUCAAUUAAACAAACCAAUACAAUGCAUGGUUGUUGCCUUGUUGGUAACUCCAGCGUUCGUUUCCGCCAGAACGGUUACUAAUGUCCAAACUUAUAUAUUAAUGUAUGUUUCUGACUAAAGUAUUUGUUUGCAGUUGAAUAAAAUUAACAUUUUAGUAUUAGAGACAAAGUCUUAUAUCAAAGUUAGAAAUGAUCUUAAUUAGUAUAUAAAUGUUAUAUGUUAUGAGCCACUUUAGUUAAUGUUAAUUGAUUUUAGUUGGAGAUUCAUUAACUUAAAACUGUAUAAAUUAAAAGUCCAACCCAUAAUCAAUUUAACCAAAAACUGAUCUAUUAACAUUUGCAAAAGUAUUCCAAAAUUAAUAGUCGAGACUCAUCAUCUUGAAUGGAGGUGAUUGAGAUAAAAUUGUAGUAUGUAAGUGAUGUUAUGAGUUAAUCAACUUAUUUUCUAUUGGUUUUUAAUUGAAAAACAUCUAAUUUAAUAUAUAAUAUAUUACUGUACUUAGAGAUAUAUUGGGGUAUUAGUAUCCCUAAUAUCCACUGUAAAGUACCUACCAUUAAAAUGUAAUUAUAGUUAAAUUAUAACACUGAGAUCUUUGUAAUAUGAACUUGAACAUUUGGACUUUGAAACAGCUGAAAAAAGUUGGUGAAACUGAGUUGGUGGGUAUGCAAAAUUCCCACAUGUCAUUUACAAAUACAAUAUGUAUAAGAAACAAAAACAAUAAAUAUUAUUUGUCUAUAUAAACCAAAUAAUCCUCAAGAGUGAUUUGUUCGGUACAGACAACUUCAACGAUGGGAUCGUUGGUUCAGAAAUCGGCUUUACUGCUAUGCGGAGACUACAUGGAAGCGUACGAGACCCUGGUUCCUCUCUACAUCCUCCAAUCGUUCGGCGUCAGCGUCCACUGCGUUUCCCCCAACCGCAACUCCGGCGAUCGCUGCGUUAUGGCUGCCCACGAUUUCACGGGCCUGGAGCUAUACACGGAGCUAGUCGUUGACCAGUUGACUUUAACCGCCAGCUUCGAUGACGUCACUCCCGAUAACUACGACGCCAUCAUCAUCCCCGGGGGACGGUUCACGGAGAUUCUCAGCGCCGACGAGAGGUGCGUCGACCUCGUUGCUCGGUUCGCCGAGCUCAAGAAGCUGAUCUUCACCAGCUGCCAUAGCCAGGUCAUGCUGAUGGCCGCCGGAGCUCUCGCCGGAGGUGUGAAGUGCACGGCGUUCGAGAGCAUGAAGCCUCUGAUCGAAUUCUCCGGCGGCGAGUGGUGGCAGCAGCCUGGGAUACAGAACAUGUUCGAGAUCACGGACUGCGUCAAGGACGGGAAUGUCGUGAGUAUGGUUGGAUGGCCGACGCUUGGUCACGGGGUUAGGGUUUUGCUGGAGUCUCUUGGGGGGCAAGUCUCGAGCUUGAAGGAGAAUCAAGCUUCUGUGCUUUUCCUCAUUGGGGUAAGUUCGAGUUUUACUGUAUGUUCUUGUUCUAUAGUAUGUUUGAAUUAGGCAUCGGUUUUGGUUUAUUCUGUUAAAUCGGUUAGGACAAUUCAAUCUUCGGUUAGUUCAGUUUAUCCACAAUCUCACCGAAUUAGACCAAAACAAAUUUUGGUUAUAUUUGGUUUAUUUUCCUUGGUUAGUUUUGAUCAGUUUUUUUUUGUUAUUUUGGUUUGGAAUUUUGUUAAUUUUAUUUUUUCAAUUAAAUUUUGGUUUAAACAUGCAUGUUUAAAACUGGUUAAUAUUCGGUUUAUUUUCCUUGGUUAGUUUGGAAUCUUUUUGUUAUUUUGCUCCGAAGUUGGUUAACUUUUUUUGUUACAGAACCAAACUAAUCGAUUAUCAAACCAAAAAAACGGAUUUUUCAAAAGUUUGCCAAAUUGAAAACUGAACUCAUAACGGUUCUUAACCGAAACCAAAAUUUUUGUUCGGCUGAUUCUGGUAUAUAAUCCUAGGGCUGCUUUGAAUAGUUGGUGUUGUGUUGGAUUUGAAGGACUAUGUAGAGGACUAUGGGAUCAAUGUACCAUUUAGAGCACUACAAGCUUUAGGAUGUAAAGUGGAUGCAGUGACACCGAACAAGAAGAAGGGAGAGAUGUGUGCAACAUUAGUUUAUGACCUUGAGGAGGCAAGGCAGCUUCCUGCAGAGAAGCGAGGGCACAACUUCCUUGUGACUGCGUGUUGGGACGAUGUAUGCGUUGAUGACUAUGACUGUGUAGUGGUUCCAGGAGGGAGAUCACCUGAGCUACUAGUGAUGAAUCCAAAGGCUGUUGCUUUGGUCAAGAAGUUUGAUGAGAAAGAUAAGGUCUUUGCAGCUAUUGGACAGGGUAAAUUGCUGCUUGCAGCCACCGGUGUACUUAAGGUAAGUCACUACUUCUUCACCAUCUAGUGAAUUGUAAUUUAUUUGCAUCGACUAUGCAAAAUGUGAUUUAGUUUUUGGUAGAUGGAGGAAACAAUAUGAUCAUGAAUGUGUAUAUAAAGUCAUGUAUCUAGUAUCAUUUCUUGGUCAUGUGACAUUUCUUUUAAUGAAACUCUAGGGGAAGCGAUGCGCUAGUGGAAAGGGGAUGAAGGUCAUGGUAAAGGUGGCUGGAGGUGAAGCUGUUGUGUCAAAGGGAUGUGUGACUGACGGAAAGCUUGUGACGGCUGCAUCAGCCUCAGAUCUGCCAGCGUUUUUGUCUGGUUUAUCAACUGCUCUUGGUGUCUCUGUCAUGUUCUAAGAUUAUUCAAGAAGGGAACAUAAAAGAUAGUUUGGAUAAUAAAACAUAACUUACAAGCUAAGCCCGUUUGGUUCCGCACACAUGGUCACAGCUGUAAUUGCUAGUAAGAAUCUUCAUAUUAAUCCACUUAUAGCAAUGCACUAGUAUUCUCGAAUAACUAUAGAGGAAAAAAAGCAACAGAAGUAACAAAAGAGCUUAAGCUUUCAAGGUAAAACAUAUCAUAUAUCUAUAUAGGGAAGUUUAUUCAAACAUGAUUAGGACAAUUGACUAGAACCAUACAAAUUUUUUUUUUAUUAUUGGUAUUUUUUAAAUACCAAGCGUACUUUUUUUUUACGUUAUUAGAAAAAACGUAUUUACAAGAAUGUCAUUACUUUUCGCUGCCACGUAAGCAAAAACCCGGCGCCACGUAAGAAUUUGGUUCCGUGUUUUCAUUAAGUCAGCCGUAAAUAACUACAUACUUCGUUACGGCUGAUUUAUUGCUACGUGUCGGCUGAAUUAAUAAACGCGGCUGACUUCAGAGGAAAAUGUUGAUUUAAGAACAUAAGUCAGCCGCCCGGUACGGCUGAUUUACAGAAAUGUGGCUGAUUUAUGGGAUAACGACUGACUUACAGACGUAAGUUACGGCUGACUUAUACAUCGGCGGUUUGAUUGCUGGAAUAUUCGGCUGAGUUAUAGUUAAGACACAGCUGAGUUAUGUUUCCACGGCUGAGUUAAUGAAUUACGACUGGCUGAGUUGUUUAAUUUACGGCUGGCUAAUGGGAUGUUGUUACGGCUGAAUUUAUAUUUAAUCAUCCGUAAUAGGAUGGAUUAACAGUAAACUCUGCUUGUUUACAACUGACUUAUUAGCGAAAGAUUAAUUACUAGAAUAGCAUUCGUUUGACGGCUGAUUUAUGGUUUUUCAUCCUAAUUACGGCUGGUUUCGGAUCAAAAGAUUAAUUACUGAAAUAGUAUCCACGGUUCGGCUGACUUACAUUGUACAUGAGAACUGAUUUACGUAGGCUAAGUUAUAUAUUCGUUUGUCGGCUGAUUAAGUGAUUUUCCAUGUCAUCCGCCAUGUCAUCAACUCGGAUUUGCCAUGUCACUCCUAACGAACUACUUUACAACUAGGUUUGUGUGUGUUCCUCUUUUUCUUCAUCUUCUUUAUCUAUCUAUCUCUUUAUCUUCUUCAUCUUAUUCUUCAUCUUUCUCAGAGAUCUAAUGGAUCCAGUAAUUAUUGUUUUCUGGUAACUGGAUUAAGAAAAACAGAUAUCUAUUCAACGCCGACAGUAGAUGGUGUAGAGUUCUUCAUUUAUAUGAGAAAACAAAACAUGAAGAAUUCGUAAAGUCUGUACUCGAUGAUUACGAAUUGAAUGAAUUGAGGCAUCAGAAAACAAUUGCGCACGACGCUCCACCAGUUUACGGAGAACAAGGACCCAGAAAUGAAUCGGAAUGACAGAGCAAGAGAGAGACGAGUAAAACGUUUUUCAGUUUUAGCUCAGAAGCAGAAGUUUCAGAUGUUGAAUCCAGAGACGAAAACUACAGUGGGAGUUACGAUGAACAGAGCACUAUCGUAUGUUUUUAUAUUACGGCUCGGUUAUGUAUUUUAAUGUUUUCGUAUUACAGCUGAGUUAUGGUUUUUUUAUGUUUCUGUGACACGACUGAGUUUUGUGGUUUAAUGUUUUGUGAUACGGCUGAGUGGAUGAGUUAUGGAUUAAUUUCCUGCUCAAAAAACAAAACGUCGCAAACCGAAACGUCGCGAUAAUAUUACCGUUAUUUGCCUAAAAAUAAUGUGUCUACUCGAACAGUACAGCUUUAAACUCUCUAAUUUACACAAUUACUCUCUAUCUCUAUUUUACACAAUUACUCUCUAUCACCCCUCUCUUCAUCAAUGGAAUAUUUCCCGAUUCUUGAAAUGCCUGAAGAAAUUCAGGCGUUGGUGGUUGAACGUGUAGCCGGUCACUCCUUCCAAGAUCUCUAUGGCCUCAGAGCAUCGUGCAAUUUGAUGAAGGCGUUCGCAGAUCGGCGUAGGGUAUGCCAUUUUUACGAUGUGUUAUCAGUUCCCUAGGGACUCAAUAUGCCUGCUGAGUUGUUGAAAACUUGCUACGCUGAGAGAAAUCCAAGCACACUUUUUAUAAAGGGUGUUCAGUUUGUCUUCACAUUAGACCUUGAAGAAGAAGGAGUUGCUCUCAUGAAGCUUGCAGCGGAUGCAAGAUAUGAGCGUGUUGUGUAUACACACGCAAUGACUCGGAAAAUCUUUUGGGAUGAUGAUGAGGAGUAUUUUGCUCGUUUUCCAAGGGAAUCCAUUAUCAGGAUCGGGAAAUUAGUGCGAUCUUUGAAAUGGGGAUGGGGUUUGUGGCACGGUGACGUGUUCCGUGCAAAGAGGGCCGAGUUCAUUUGAGCGUUUGUUCCGUCGUUCUGCAGUUGCCAAUGUGCUCCUCUUUUGAAGCGAGAAUGUCUUUGCUUGUGGCACAUUGAUACCACUAAGGAUGACAACAUGUGUGACCGCUGUUUCUGGAUCAAAGUGGUGGGGCUGUUCUUCCGUGACUUUGAACCAAUUAGUUUGAUUAGGGACACAAGGAAGUGGUGAAGUUGCAUUGUAUCAGAAACCUAUAUUUUUUUGUUCUUUGUUAUGCCAUUAUGUAUGUAGAACAACAUAUUUAUGUAUGAGUUUAUGUUAAUGGUUACGGCUGAGUUUUCGUUUAAUUACGGCUGAAUUAUCAUUUAAUUAUGUCUGAGUUAUCGUUAAUUUAUAUUGCUGAGUUAUCAUUUAAUUAUGUCAAAGUUAUCGUUAAUUUACGGCUGAGUUAUCGUUUAAUUAAGUCUGAUAUAUUUUUAUGUCCGUUAAUGUUUUCGCCCCUCUGUAACCUUUGUCGUCAACAGUUCACGUUUCUCCGUUAAAACAAAACGCUCUGUUUCAUUUAAAGAGAAAACGUCGACAUGUUAGCUCACAGAAGUUAAAAUCGAGGCUCAUUCCAAAAACCCCCAAAUUUGAAAAUUAGGAUUCUUCAGAAGAGAUGAUUAACUGUAAGUCUCUUUCGUCAAAUCUGAGAUCAUAUACUGUUUUUUUUACUUGAUUCUAUAAAAUCGCUUUGAGCAUUUUGUGUUUCGCCUUGGUAUAGUUUCAAUCAUUUUUGUGUAUUGUGAACUAGAAUUCGAUGGAUCUAGGGCGUGGAAUUCCAAGGAGGUGUGACUGUGGAGCUGCUACUGUUGUGUUAACGUCAAAUACCGCAAGGAAUCCGGGAAGAAGGUUUUAUCGUUGUGGAGCAAUUUCGGGUGAAAACCAUGUUUUCAAAUGGCUUGAUGAAGCACAUGAUGAAGAGUUUGUAGUUGUGGCAAACAAACUGGCGACGAUGGAGCAAGAUUUGGCCGACAUUAAAGUAGACUUAGCUGAUAUGAAGAACGACAUAAGUGAGAUCGUAGCACUUAUCGAGGGUCUUAGGGUGAACUGUUUGAUGUAUUAGUUGUUGUUGGGAGAAAUAAAAAUGUAGUCUUUUAAUUAUCAUUUAAUUAUGUCGGAGUUAUCGUUUAAUUUACGGCUGAGUUAUCGUUAAUUUACGGCUGACCUAUCGUUAAUUUACGGCUGAGUUAUCGUUUAAUUAUGUCUGAGUUAUCGUUAAUGCAAAGUCUUAUCAAACUUUGUAAAUAAUAAAGUAUUAUCGUCUCGAUGUUAUAAAGGCCUCAAUAUUAGUUCUGAGCCGUAUUUUCUACACUUUUGAAGCGCCAUAAUUAAUUAUCAACACGGUCAAAUCAAGAAAGACGAAACGUCCCAUUAUUAUAAUGGACGUUUAAUAUUAUAGAAAAGUAUUACCGUGAAUGUUAAAUCAGGUUUUAAAUACUAAAGUAUUAUAAAGGCCUCGAUAUUAGUUCUAAGCCGUAUUUUCCACACUUUUGCCGUAUUUGACACACUCAGCCGUCCCGAUAAUAUUAACGGAUGAGUUAUAUUCUGAGUUAAAUAAUAAAGUAUUACCGUCUCGAUCUCUAUGAAGACCUCGAUGUUAUAUUAACCAACAUGGCUGAGUUAUAUCAACCAUCAUUGCUUAGUUAUAUUAACGUUACAUUAAUGGAUUAUUUCCAGAUUCUUGAAUUGCCUGAAGAGAUUCAUGCAUUAGUGGUUGAACGUGUGGCCGGUAACUCCUUCCAAGAUCUCUAUGGCCUCAGAGCAUCGUGCAAAGAUUCUUGAAUUGCCUGAAGAGAUUCAUGCAUUAGUGGUUGAACGUGUGGCCGGUAACUCCUUCCAAGAUCUCUAUGGCCUCAGAGCAUCGUGCAAGUUGAUCAAGGCGUUUGCAGAUCGGCGUAGUGUAUGCCAUUUUUACGAUGUAUUAUCUGUUCCCUGUGGACUCAAUAUGCCUGCUGAGUUGUUGAAAACUUACAAAACUGAGAGAAAUCCAAGCACACUUUAUAUGAAGGGUGUACAGUUUUUCUUCACAUUUAACCUUCAGGAAGAAAGACGUGCUUACAUGAAGCUUGCAGCGGAUGAAAGAUAUGAGCGUGCUGUGUAUACAUACGCAAUGACUAGAAAAUGGUUUUGGGGUGAUGAGGAGUGUUUUGCUCGCUUUACAAGGGAAUCAGUUGAUAGGAUCGGGAAACUAGUUUGAUCUCUAAAAUGGGCAUGGGGUUCUCUUCAAGGUGACGAGUUUCUGGCAAAGAGGAACGAGUUCAUUUCAACCAUUGUUCCUUUGUUCUAUAGUUGCCAAUGUGUUCAUGUUUUGGAGCGAGAUUGGGUCUUGUGGUUCAUUGAAAACAGUAAGGGUGACAAAAUGUGUAACCGCUGUUUCUGGAUCAAAGAGGUGGGGCUAUUCUUCCGUGAGUUUGAACCGAUGAGCGUGAUUAGGGACACAAGGGAGUGGUGAAGAUGGAUUGUAUCAGAAUCUUAUAUUUUUUUAAUGUACUUUGCUAUGACAUUAUUACGGUUGGGUUAUAUUUUACUUUAUUGAUGAGUUGUCUUUUAACUACGUAAUCUUAUAUUUUUUUAAUGUACUUUGCUAUGACAUUAUUACGGCUGGGUUAUAUUUUACUUUAUUGAUGAGUUGUCUUUUAAUUACGGCUGAUUUUUGUUUAUGGCUGGGUUCUCUACAAUUACGGCUGAGUUUUAAUUUCAUAAUGACUGAGUUAUCGUUACUUGGCAGUGAUAUAUAAAUACGACAUGACUGAGUUAUUUAAAUGCGAGACGGCUGAGUUAUUGUUACAUAAAGGCUGAGAUAAUGCUAACUUUUUGGCUGAGUUUUGUAAAAAAAUCCAAGAUACAUACAAGGAAUCCGCCAUGUCAUCAACUCGGAUUUACCAUGUCAUCACUAACGAACGAAAUUUACAACUUGGUUUAUGAGACUGUUCAUGUUCUUCUUCAUGUUAUUUAUCUAUCGUUUUCAUCUGUCUCAGUUGGUUAUGGAUCCGGUAGUUAUUGUUUCCGGUAACUGGAUUAAGAAAAACAGAUAUGUAUUCAACGUCGACAGAAGAGGGUGUAGAGUUCUUCAUUUAGAUGGGAAAACAACACAUGAAUAUUUCACAAAGUCUGUUCUCGAUGAUUACGGAUUGAAUUAUUUGAGGGAUCAUAUUCAGCUUAGCUACAUGUUUUCGAAUAAAGCAUUGAAAACAAUGUCGCACGACACUCCACUAGUUUACGUGUCCAAUACUCGACAAUUGCAAGGUUUUAUAAGCCUAAAGAAAAUAGAACAACUACGUCUCUGUGUGGAGAUUACGGAGAACAAGGAUGACAAAGCAAGAGAGAAGAGUAACGAGAAUGACUGCUCAGAAGUAGAAGCUUCAGAAGUUCAGUCCAGAGACAAAAACUACAGUGGGAGUUGAGAUGGUUGCAGUUUUGAGAAGGUACAAGAGGACAAUGAGAAUGACUGCUCUAGUAAUGUGGAAGGAGAAAUACACGACAUAGUCAGAGAAGAUGAAAUAGGCAAAGAAAACGAAGAAGAUGAUGAAUUUGAAAGCCGAUUUGAUAUGUUCGACGACUCGGACGGUGCGUCAUCUGAAGAUGAUAACUUCAGCUCAUACGGUGAGUCUCCUACAGAAAACGAAGAUUCACCAACGCUACCUCCCAAGAAGAGAUAUCAGAACUUGUCGAUGAGCGGACCUAAAGGGAAUCUGGAGGUUCUAAAGUUGGAGAUGUCGUCGAUAGACCUUGCGGUAGGGCAACGAUACGAGAGUAAAGACGAUUUGGAGAGACGAUUGAAACUUCUUACAGUGAGAUAUCGAUUUGAUUUUGAUCGACCCCGACAUCAUACGUUGUUAAGUGUUGGGUUGAUGGAUAUCUCUGGAGAGUUCGUGCUUUUACCCAAGGGGAAUCCCCAGAGUUUUAUGUUCGUAUUUACGAUUCGAAUCAUACAUGUUCUUGCACUGAGCGUUCUAAUCGAUCUCGACAAGCAACGCCUGAUAUUUUGGGAAAGUUGUACCAGAACUUUCUCGGCGACGUUGGUCCGACCGUUUGCCCUACGAGUGUCGGAAUAGCUAUCACUAAGCAGUUUGGUGUCAAGGUAAUCGCUUUGAUGUGGCUGAGUAUUAUAACGAUAUGGCUGAGUAAUAUGAAACGUAGCGGCUGACAUAUUAAUACAAUGCGGCUGGGUUAUAAUAAAGCUAGGGUUGAGUUAUUUUUACAUUGUGGCUGUCUUAAUUUUGUGAAGCGACUGAGUUAUGUGUAUCAUUUUUUCAUGUGAACAGAUGGAUUAUUGGAAAUCACACCGGGCGCUGAAAUUUGCAGGGGAAAUCGAUGAGGGAACACCUGAGAGGGGUUUGAAAGCUUGCCUUCUUACUUAUACAUGAUAAGUAAGAAGGGCAAAUCCGAGUACAGUUACACGUCUUCAAAUUGAUGAGCUUGGAAGAUUCAUGUAUGUGUUUCUUGCGUUUGGUACGAGCGUAAAUGGGUUUCCUUUCAUGCGCAAAGUUGUUGUCGUCGACGGUAUGUUUCUUAAUGGUAAAUACAAAGGGACGUUACUCACAGCACUAGCUCAGGAUGGUAACUUUCAGAUUUUUCCAAUAGCCUUCGCAGUGGUUGACACUGAAAAUGAUGAUUCGUGGCAUUGGUUUUUUUCGCAACUAAAACUUUUGAUUCCUGACGACGAGGGUCUUGCGAUAAUCUCGGAUAGGCAUAACUCGAUAGGGAAAGCAAUUAGAAAUGUGUAUCCGUUAGUUGCUCGGGGAAUAUGCACCUACCAUUUAUAUAAGAACAUAUUGGGACGGUACAAAGGAAAAGAUGUAUUUCGUCUGGUGAAGAAAGCGGCGAGAUGUUUUAGGAUGUCUGACUUUACUGCGAUUUUCGAGGAGAUUGAAGCGGUUAAUCCUGCACUCCACGGCUACCUCCAAAGAGCUGAUGUCCGGCUGUGGACGCGUGUUUAUUUCCUGGGCGAGAGGUACAAUUUGAUGACUACGAACAUAGCGGAAUUAAUGAACAGAGCAUUGUCUAAUGCUAUAGGUCUUAACAUUGUUCAAAUAUUAUAAUCAAUACGGGUUAUGAUGACCAGAUGGUUUGCUGAACGAAGAGAGGAUGCCAGAUCGCAGCCAACCACGCUAACGCGUGGUGUGGAGAAACUACUACAUGUAAGUCAGUCGAAAUAGUAAACGUAAGACAACCAUUAUAGUUCUUAAGUCAGCAUUAUAGUUCUUAAGUCAGCCUUUAUAUGUAAUAAGUCAGCCGUUUCACAUUUAUUCUAUUUUUCUUAAUAGGGUCGUGUAACUGCCACCAGAGAUUUGACGGUACAAAGGAUUGAUGAUCAUCACACUGAAGUUAAAUAUUGAUCUUCUGGCGAGUAUUUGAAUGCUGUUAAUUUGGUAGAGCGAAAGUGCACAUGUCGGCGUUUCGAACGUGAAAAAUUACAAUGUGUACACGCAAUCGCAGCCGCGGAGUACAUGAAUGUUUGUCGUAUAUCCCUGUGCAGUCCUUACUAUAACAUCGCUUAUUUGGUGAGCGCAUACGAUGAAUCGGUCAUGCCGGUUGACUCAUCGCAACCUGUUCUAGAAAUCGUGGCUAACCAACCGUGCUUGCCCCCGUCUAUUCGUCAACAACCAGGAAGACCUAAGAAAAAUAGGAUGAAAUCUGCUUUAGAAGUUGCACUUCAAAACAAACGUCCUAGGAAAGAACACACAUGUUCUCGAUGUAGACAGAGUGGACAUAAUGCGAAAACUUGUCCGAUGUAAGCAAAUGUUGUAGGGAUUUUCAUGUUUUUGUAUUACGACUGGGUUUUUGGUUUUCAAGUUCUUCUUUUACGGCUGACUUUUGGAUUUUCAUGUUCUUCUAUUACGGCUGGGUUUUCGAUUUUCAUGUUCUUCUAUUACGGGUGGGUUUUGGAUUUUCAAGUUUUUGUAUUACGGCUGGGUUUUGUUUUCAUGUUUUUGUAUUACGGGUGGGUUUUGAUUUUCAUUUUUUGACGUUUUUACACGCCAAAACAAUGGCGGCAUAAUUAGCCAUUUACAGCUGAGGAAAUGGCGAAAACAUCGAAAAACGUACUUAAUAGUCCCUACAUAACUUAAUAGCCCCUACGUAAUUAUUGAUGUCUUGAAAUACGAAACGUCUGAGUUAUUAUAAUAAACGGCUGAUUUAUUGAAUGAAAUACAUUACGGCUGGGUUAUUAUAAAUACAUUUCUUUUACACGCCAAGAACAAUGGCGACAUAAUUAGCCAGUUACAAUUGAGGAAAAUGGCGAAAACAUCGAAAAACGUACUUAAUAGUCCCUACAUAACUUAAUAGCUCAUACGUAAUUAUUGAUGUCUUGAAAUACGAAACGUCUGAGAUAUUAUAAUAAACGGCUGAUUUAUUGAAUGAAAUAGAUUACGACUGGGUUAUGGAAUAACUUCCCGCCCAAAAUAAGACAAGUCGCAAUAUGAAAACCGUUGUGCUGCUGGUAAAUAAGGAACAAUUACAUGUUCAACUCUCUAUUGUUUUACAGAAUUGCUCUCUCUCUCUAAAUCAAUUUCACCCCCCUGAGAGUAAAUUGAAUAUUUCCUGAUUCUUGAAAUGCCUGAAGAAAUUCAGGCGUUGGUGGUUGAACGUGUGCCCGGUAACUCCUUCCAAGAUCUCUAUGGCCUCAGAGCAUCGUGCAAGUUGAUGAAGGCGUUCGCAGAUCGGCGUAGUGUAUGCCAUUUUUACGAUGUAUUAUCCGUUCCAUGGGGGCUCAAUAUGCCUGCUGAGUUGUUGAAAACUUGCUACGCUGAGAGAAAUCCAGGCACACUUUAUAUAAAAGGUGUACAGUUUUUCUUCUCAUUCAGCCUUAAAGAAGUAGGGCUUUCUGUAAUAAAGCGUGCAGCAGAUGCAUGAUAUAAGCGUGCUGUGUAUACACACGCAAUUACUCGAGCAAUCUUUUGGUGUGAUGGGCAGUAUUUUGAUGGUAUUCCAAGAGAAAUAGUUGAUAGGAUCGAGAAACUAGUGUGAUCUGUCAAAUGGGGAUGGGGUUUGUGGCAUUCUGACGAGUUCCGUCAAAAUAGGGCCAAUGUGCAAAUCUUGUGGAGCGAUAAUGUCUCUGCUUGUGGCACAUUGAUGUGACUAAGGAUAACAACAUGUGUGACCGCUGUUUUUGGAUCAAAGAGAUAUGCAUGUUCUUACGUGAUUUUGAACCGAUAAGCCUGUUUAGGGACACAAAGAAGUGGCAAAGAUGUAAAGUUCUCAUGUUCUUUGCUAUGCCAUUAUGUAUGUCGAACAACAAAUUAAUGUAUUGAAGGCUGAGUUAUUGUUUAAUGACGGUUGAGUUACUGUUUAAUGACGGUUGAGUUACAUAAAACAUAGGCUGACUUAUAAUUACAUAAAACAUAGGCAUAGUUUAAUUGUGGCUGAGUUAUUGUGUAAUCACGACUGAAUUAGAUCUGACUUAAUAAAGGUUACGGCGUAAGUCUUCAUAAAACAUAGGCUGACUUAUAAUUACAUAAAACAUAGGCUGACUUAUCAUUAGUAUGAAGCCUGAGUUAUUUAAUACGUUAAGUCUGAGUUACAUAAAACCUAGGCUGACUUAUAAUUACAAAACACGACUACACACAAUAGUAGUAGUAGCAAAGUAACGCCAUUCUAACCCCACAAACAACCACAUUCCUCAAAGACCGACCCUGACUCAUACAUUCUUCUCCUUUUCUCCCAGAUUCCGUCUUCAGUCCUUCAAUCUCUUUCUCCAAACGAGCAACGUUAAGUCUGAAUUCGGAGAUGUCUUUGUUCAUGCCACUUAUCAGUGACUUAAUAUCCUCAACCUCUACCACCAAACACUCAUCCGCCCAUUUGAGUAAAUGUCUAUGUUUUAACAAAUAUAACCUAGAUCUAAGUAUUACGUUACAGAACAUGCGAAAUAAGAACCAAAACAAACCUUGCUAUAUCCUUUAGCGCAGCAAUAGUACAAUCUUUCUGGAUUUGUAUAAAUUUUGAGUAAAAAUUUUAGAGGGUUCACCACACCAACAUUGUAUCGGCGUUCCUCUUUCCGCGUUCAAACGUCGUCUGUAAGAAUUUUUUGAAACGCAGGAUGAGGAAGACAUUUUUAUUCUCAAUAAAAUUUCAAAAAAAAACAUUAGUGUGACUUUAGGGUGAGUAAGAAGACGACAUCGUGAAACAACAACGUUUACUUUUUUUUCCUUUUUAAGUAUUAAAUAUAUAAAAAUUUAAUGUCUCGACAUUGUAAAUUACUCGACACAUGCGUGCCAGCAGUUUAUUUCAAACUCAUCAUAAUUAGUCUCGAUAUUCUCAUAUUGUUGGCGGAGUUAUUCCUCACACGCCAUAAUUAAUCGACAACUUAGUCCAAUCAAACAAGUGGAAACGUCUCAUUAAUAAUGAAAUGGGCGAGCGAUAAUCUACGUUGUGGUAUAGACCUUCACUAAAACAUUCACGACUGAGUUAGAUUAGUACGUUUUGGCUGAGUUAACUUAACGUUGUGGCUGAGUUAUAUUAACAUUCACAGCUGAAUUACCUUAUACGUUUUGACUGAGUUAACUUAAAGUUGUGGCUGAGUUAUGUUAACAGAUACGGCUGAAUUACAAUACAUAAGUUAAUACGAAUUCGACAUGUCGAAUUACAUUCAGAAACAUAAAAUAUCAGGUUCAAAAUACAGACAACGCAUCACUCUCAGAAACCAAAAUUGUCAGGACCAAACUCUUCAAACAUGUGGACGAGAUCACGCCAAACUCUAGAAAUGGCGCAUCUGGCAACAAAAUAGCGUUCUGGCCACAAGAUUAAAAUGUGUCCAAACUGUCGAAUUAUGCCUUCGAUCCCACGUGCUUUUGCGCUACAACAAAAAAUAUUACAAAACUGAUGUUAAGAACACAGCUAAUGUAGACAGAGUGGACAAACUAUUAAUAUAUCUAAUAUGGACACAUAUCCCGUCCUUACAGCGAGUUGAAGAAACCAGUGUUCCUUAAUAUGAUUGGGAAUGGCGCGGUAUGUCGGCCAAUCAUGAACCCAUCCUUCUACAAGAAUCGACGGGAUGACGAGGGAGAGAUCACUUAAAAAUUUGAACCAGGUAGUGCUGGUUGUGUCAAGCAAGUCACCCGGACCAGGGUAUAGAAGACAGAGGUUUUCACGACUUGCAGAGCUUAGUAUCGCAUUGACAUUGUUCUCUAACCUCGUUGAAUUACCAAGAACAAUCGGCAUAACUUUUGAUGGGGAUAGAGAGAUUUUGUUUAGGUUAUUUCUAGAGAGAGAAAGGCGUAAGAAAAGGUUUAAGAGAGAGGACAAUAUAUAGAGAGGUAUAUAGAACGUCAAACGUCACGAGUUAAAAUUUCCCAAGAUUCAGUUAUCUUUUUCCCGCCAAACGUCAAGAUUCAGUUAUACUUCACGGCCGAGUUACUUUAACAUUUACGGCUGACUUAGUAAUUGGGGUUUAGGGUUGCUUAUUUAGGGUUUAGGUUUGCUUUUUUGGGGAUUUUGGUUUAGGAUUUGGAUUUAUGGUGCAAGAAAUAUAAUAAAUAACACAAAUUCAUGAUAAAUAACACAAUAACAGUUUACGAGUUUUAAAUAUUGGUCACACCUUAUAUCUAAAUGUAAGGUUUUAAGUAAUCGUAUGACAACGUAUACAUCAAGAACAUGAUCGAUUUUAAACUCGUAAAUUCAAUAAAGAAGACACAUUCAGUUGAUUAUAUAUUCACUUCAAAUUGAUAAUUGGAGUUUCAAUAUAACAUUUUAAAGUAUAAACAUUUCAUUUUUUUUAUUCUAGUGUAUGUUUGAGGUAUGGCUGAGUUAUAAUAGCGUAACAGCUGACUUAUAUGAACAUUUUCGAUUUUAGAGUAUGUUUGGGGUAUUGCUGAGUUAUAAAAACGAUAUGACUGAGAUAUAUUUGCUAAAGUCAAAUACUUAAUAACUUAAGUCAAGUACAAAAUAACAAACACAGGUUCAAUUGGACAUCAAAUUGUUCAUCGCAUUAUUCCUCCUUCAUCGAGGAUCUCUGCUGCCAUCUUCACCCUUAAACCUUGAAUAUUGUUAUCGUUUAUCCCAUCAAAAGUUACACCAAGCGCUAGACACUCCACAAACUUCAACGAAUACACCCCACAAUCGCCAAUCUGGGUGUUUUGUGGAGUGUAUCUUUUGCUUCUCCUUCUGAAUGCGAACUUCUUCUUACUAGGGGAUCGGAGAUUGGCAGGAAUAAGUUCACUCAACAUCACGGAAAGCAUAAGCGUUAGCGGUUUAAAUGAAUAUAGUAUUCUCUGCUCACUUUUGGGUGUUGCAUGUCCAAAGAUUGGAUCGUAGCAAUCAAUCUUCUCCUUCUUCAGAUCCAUGUGAAACGCCACCCAGUGAUUUCCGCCGGUUUGAAGACAUCCGUACAAGUGAUCCACAUCUUCAUACCACUUCAAGUUUGUUGGACAUUCAAGGGGAAGCUUACCGUUUAUUAGAUAUUCAUAACCAUUGCCUUUGAACUUGAUCAUACUAGGUUUUAUCUUGAACUGCUUGAAAUCGUGAAUCCAAAAACUUAACACCCAAACGUCAAUGAAGGCAAUCCGCUUGGACCAGAAUGGGGUGGGAUUUCGCAUGGACCUUUUAAUGAGGACCUUUAUAUACGCACCGACAUGCUACACAAAGAAUAUUAACAAGUCAGCCGUAAUCAAAUAUAUAAGUCACCUGUAAACAAAUAUAUAACUCAGCUGUAAUAUAAUAUAUAACUCAGCCGUACUAAAGACUUACAUUAUCAAACAGCCAUCCAUAUUCCUUUUCCGGCCACGGUCUUUCAUGGAUGAGUAUGCUGUAGAAGUCACUCUCAUGAUCAGCUGAGAGGACUGCUGAUUUAUCUGCUGGUGCUGGUGGUUUGGGUGGAAUUCCCUUAAUGUGUUGCAUCAGUUUAUCGAAUAGCACCGGAUCAACAUGUGCUAGAGGGUCAUAUAUUGCUGAUGAAGGCUUAACAUUCUUCCUCAUGCACGUCGUUCCAUCGUCUCCAAUGGACGGAAAAACUGGUGGUGAAGAAACUGCCGUCAAUGCAAACCCUUUUGGAGAUAAUUGAACACAUUUCUCUCGAUAUUUCAUACGUAAUUAUUGAUGUCUUGAAAUACGAAACGUCUGAGAUAUUAUAAUAAACGGCUGAUUUAUUGAAUGAAAUAGAUUACGACUGGGUUAUGGAAUAACUUCCCGCCCAAAAUAAGACAAGUCGCAAUAUGAAAACCGUUGUGCUGCUGGUAAAUAAGGAACAAUUACAUGUUCAACUCUCUAUUGUUUUACAGAAUUGCUCUCUCUCUCUAAAUCAAUUUCACCCCCCUGAGAGUAAAUUGAAUAUUUCCUGAUUCUUGAAAUGCCUGAAGAAAUUCAGGCGUUGGUGGUUGAACGUGUGCCCGGUAACUCCUUCCAAGAUCUCUAUGGCCUCAGAGCAUCGUGCAAGUUGAUGAAGGCGUUCGCAGAUCGGCGUAGUGUAUGCCAUUUUUACGAUGUAUUAUCCGUUCCAUGGGGGCUCAAUAUGCCUGCUGAGUUGUUGAAAACUUGCUACGCUGAGAGAAAUCCAGGCACACUUUAUAUAAAAGGUGUACAGUUUUUCUUCUCAUUCAGCCUUAAAGAAGUAGGGCUUUCUGUAAUAAAGCGUGCAGCAGAUGCAUGAUAUAAGCGUGCUGUGUAUACACACGCAAUUACUCGAGCAAUCUUUUGGUGUGAUGGGCAGUAUUUUGAUGGUAUUCCAAGAGAAAUAGUUGAUAGGAUCGAGAAACUAGUGUGAUCUGUCAAAUGGGGAUGGGGUUUGUGGCAUUCUGACGAGUUCCGUCAAAAUAGGGCCAAUGUGCAAAUCUUGUGGAGCGAUAAUGUCUCUGCUUGUGGCACAUUGAUGUGACUAAGGAUAACAACAUGUGUGACCGCUGUUUUUGGAUCAAAGAGAUAUGCAUGUUCUUACGUGAUUUUGAACCGAUAAGCCUGUUUAGGGACACAAAGAAGUGGCAAAGAUGUAAAGUUCUCAUGUUCUUUGCUAUGCCAUUAUGUAUGUCGAACAACAAAUUAAUGUAUUGAAGGCUGAGUUAUUGUUUAAUGACGGUUGAGUUACUGUUUAAUGACGGUUGAGUUACAUAAAACAUAGGCUGACUUAUAAUUACAUAAAACAUAGGCAUAGUUUAAUUGUGGCUGAGUUAUUGUGUAAUCACGACUGAAUUAGAUCUGACUUAAUAAAGGUUACGGCGUAAGUCUUCAUAAAACAUAGGCUGACUUAUAAUUACAUAAAACAUAGGCUGACUUAUCAUUAGUAUGAAGCCUGAGUUAUUUAAUACGUUAAGUCUGAGUUACAUAAAACCUAGGCUGACUUAUAAUUACAAAACACGACUACACACAAUAGUAGUAGUAGCAAAGUAACGCCAUUCUAACCCCACAAACAACCACAUUCCUCAAAGACCGACCCUGACUCAUACAUUCUUCUCCUUUUCUCCCAGAUUCCGUCUUCAGUCCUUCAAUCUCUUUCUCCAAACGAGCAACGUUAAGUCUGAAUUCGGAGAUGUCUUUGUUCAUGCCACUUAUCAGUGACUUAAUAUCCUCAACCUCUACCACCAAACACUCAUCCGCCCAUUUGAGUAAAUGUCUAUGUUUUAACAAAUAUAACCUAGAUCUAAGUAUUACGUUACAGAACAUGCGAAAUAAGAACCAAAACAAACCUUGCUAUAUCCUUUAGCGCAGCAAUAGUACAAUCUUUCUGGAUUUGUAUAAAUUUUGAGUAAAAAUUUUAGAGGGUUCACCACACCAACAUUGUAUCGGCGUUCCUCUUUCCGCGUUCAAACGUCGUCUGUAAGAAUUUUUUGAAACGCAGGAUGAGGAAGACAUUUUUAUUCUCAAUAAAAUUUCAAAAAAAAACAUUAGUGUGACUUUAGGGUGAGUAAGAAGACGACAUCGUGAAACAACAACGUUUACUUUUUUUUCCUUUUUAAGUAUUAAAUAUAUAAAAAUUUAAUGUCUCGACAUUGUAAAUUACUCGACACAUGCGUGCCAGCAGUUUAUUUCAAACUCAUCAUAAUUAGUCUCGAUAUUCUCAUAUUGUUGGCGGAGUUAUUCCUCACACGCCAUAAUUAAUCGACAACUUAGUCCAAUCAAACAAGUGGAAACGUCUCAUUAAUAAUGAAAUGGGCGAGCGAUAAUCUACGUUGUGGUAUAGACCUUCACUAAAACAUUCACGACUGAGUUAGAUUAGUACGUUUUGGCUGAGUUAACUUAACGUUGUGGCUGAGUUAUGUUAACAGAUACGGCUGAAUUACAAUACAUAAGUUAAUACGAAUUCGACAUGUCGAAUUACAUUCAGAAACAUAAAAUAUCAGGUUCAAAAUACAGACAACGCAUCACUCUCAGAAACCAAAAUUGUCAGGACCAAACUCUUCAAACAUGUGGACGAGAUCACGCCAAACUCUAGAAAUGGCGCAUCUGGCAACAAAAUAGCGUUCUGGCCACAAGAUUAAAAUGUGUCCAAACUGUCGAAUUAUGCCUUCGAUCCCACGUGCUUUUGCGCUACAACAAAAAAUAUUACAAAACUGAUGUUAAGAACACAGCUAAUGUAGACAGAGUGGACAAACUAUUAAUAUAUCUAAUAUGGACACAUAUCCCGUCCUUACAGCGAGUUGAAGAAACCAGUGUUCCUUAAUAUGAUUGGGAAUGGCGCGGUAUGUCGGCCAAUCAUGAACCCAUCCUUCUACAAGAAUCGACGGGAUGACGAGGGAGAGAUCACUUAAAAAUUUGAACCAGGUAGUGCUGGUUGUGUCAAGCAAGUCACCCGGACCAGGGUAUAGAAGACAGAGGUUUUCACGACUUGCAGAGCUUAGUAUCGCAUUGACAUUGUUCUCUAACCUCGUUGAAUUACCAAGAACAAUCGGCAUAACUUUUGAUGGGGAUAGAGAGAUUUUGUUUAGGUUAUUUCUAGAGAGAGAAAGGCGUAAGAAAAGGUUUAAGAGAGAGGACAAUAUAUAGAGAGGUAUAUAGAACGUCAAACGUCACGAGUUAAAAUUUCCCAAGAUUCAGUUAUCUUUUUCCCGCCAAACGUCAAGAUUCAGUUAUACUUCACGGCCGAGUUACUUUAACAUUUACGGCUGACUUAGUAAUUGGGGUUUAGGGUUGCUUAUUUAGGGUUUAGGUUUGCUUUUUUGGGGAUUUUGGUUUAGGAUUUGGAUUUAUGGUGCAAGAAAUAUAAUAAAUAACACAAAUUCAUGAUAAAUAACACAAUAACAGUUUACGAGUUUUAAAUAUUGGUCACACCUUAUAUCUAAAUGUAAGGUUUUAAGUAAUCGUAUGACAACGUAUACAUCAAGAACAUGAUCGAUUUUAAACUCGUAAAUUCAAUAAAGAAGACACAUUCAGUUGAUUAUAUAUUCACUUCAAAUUGAUAAUUGGAGUUUCAAUAUAACAUUUUAAAGUAUAAACAUUUCAUUUUUUUUAUUCUAGUGUAUGUUUGAGGUAUGGCUGAGUUAUAAUAGCGUAACAGCUGACUUAUAUGAACAUUUUCGAUUUUAGAGUAUGUUUGGGGUAUUGCUGAGUUAUAAAAACGAUAUGACUGAGAUAUAUUUGCUAAAGUCAAAUACUUAAUAACUUAAGUCAAGUACAAAAUAACAAACACAGGUUCAAUUGGACAUCAAAUUGUUCAUCGCAUUAUUCCUCCUUCAUCGAGGAUCUCUGCUGCCAUCUUCACCCUUAAACCUUGAAUAUUGUUAUCGUUUAUCCCAUCAAAAGUUACACCAAGCGCUAGACACUCCACAAACUUCAACGAAUACACCCCACAAUCGCCAAUCUGGGUGUUUUGUGGAGUGUAUCUUUUGCUUCUCCUUCUGAAUGCGAACUUCUUCUUACUAGGGGAUCGGAGAUUGGCAGGAAUAAGUUCACUCAACAUCACGGAAAGCAUAAGCGUUAGCGGUUUAAAUGAAUAUAGUAUUCUCUGCUCACUUUUGGGUGUUGCAUGUCCAAAGAUUGGAUCGUAGCAAUCAAUCUUCUCCUUCUUCAGAUCCAUGUGAAACGCCACCCAGUGAUUUCCGCCGGUUUGAAGACAUCCGUACAAGUGAUCCACAUCUUCAUACCACUUCAAGUUUGUUGGACAUUCAAGGGGAAGCUUACCGUUUAUUAGAUAUUCAUAACCAUUGCCUUUGAACUUGAUCAUACUAGGUUUUAUCUUGAACUGCUUGAAAUCGUGAAUCCAAAAACUUAACACCCAAACGUCAAUGAAGGCAAUCCGCUUGGACCAGAAUGGGGUGGGAUUUCGCAUGGACCUUUUAAUGAGGACCUUUAUAUACGCACCGACAUGCUACACAAAGAAUAUUAACAAGUCAGCCGUAAUCAAAUAUAUAAGUCACCUGUAAACAAAUAUAUAACUCAGCUGUAAUAUAAUAUAUAACUCAGCCGUACUAAAGACUUACAUUAUCAAACAGCCAUCCAUAUUCCUUUUCCGGCCACGGUCUUUCAUGGAUGAGUAUGCUGUAGAAGUCACUCUCAUGAUCAGCUGAGAGGACUGCUGAUUUAUCUGCUGGUGCUGGUGGUUUGGGUGGAAUUCCCUUAAUGUGUUGCAUCAGUUUAUCGAAUAGCACCGGAUCAACAUGUGCUAGAGGGUCAUAUAUUGCUGAUGAAGGCUUAACAUUCUUCCUCAUGCACGUCGUUCCAUCGUCUCCAAUGGACGGAAAAACUGGUGGUGAAGAAACUGCCGUCAAUGCAAACCCUUUUGGAGAUAAUUGAACACAUUUCUCUCGAUAUUCCUUGACUACGGCAGAUCUAACCACUUCAUGAAUCUCGACAUCAGACUCCGGCGCAAAUUCGUUCUCUUCCGCAAGAACUUCGUCGUUCUUCAUAGAACAUUCACUAUCCUCUCAAGCAUGUUUUUGCUUCUUUAACUUAACAUGUUUUUGCUUCUUUAGCUCAGCCAGUUUUUGCUUCUUUAACUCAGCCUCUUAUCUCUUAGCCUCUACUUCUUGAUUCUUUAACUCAGCCAGUUUUUGCUUCUUUAACUAAGCCUCUUUUCUCUUAGCGUCAGUCUUCUCCUUCCUCUUCAACGCAGCCUCUGCCUGCACUGCUUUUUUCUUAUCAGAGGCAUCCUCAUCCUUUACAGUACACCUGCCCCUGCAGCCGCGUCUAUAGGCAGGAACCUUAGCAUCCUUAUCAUCCUUAGUAGCCUUUGAAGGAGAAACAUAUACGAAAUCAAGAUCAGUAGCUUUAGCGACACUACCAAACUCCUCAGCCAAAGUCUUUUCACCCCUGUAUCCUUACCAAACUCCUCACCCAAAGUCCUUUUCACCCUUGUAUCCUUAUCAAACUCCUCAGCUGAUGUUAGGAGUUUUCAAGGCUCCUAAUCAAAUGUUAUAGUAUAAAGGAUGUCAAACCAGUUCUAAGUGAUUCUAAAGCAAAGGGAAUGAAAGACCAUGCUUAAUCUAAAUGCUAUCAAUUGGUAAGAUGAAUUUGAACUAAAAUACUACUAAAAUGCAAUAAAGAACAAAGCUUUUCUUUCUUAUGAGAUGGGAGAAUUCAUGGGCUAAGGGAAUUGACCUUGGGUGAUCAAGUUUCAAUAUAAAGGUAGUAUCUUUCAAUCAAUCUAUCAACCUUAGACCUAGACACAAUCCUAAACAAAUUCUAUCUCUAGAUGAAUGCUCAUUCACUAAGAUAACUCAAGCAUCAAAUUUCUUUGGUUGAAUAUUAUCUAAGCAAUCAUUAAUUUCAAGUCCAUUAGCCAUCUUAACACCUUUAACAUCAAACCUCUUUGGUAAAGAAUGUUAAAAGCUUAGUAGAGUUGGUUCAGGCAUUUCAUCGAACACCUUUCGGGUGUGAAAUGCCUAAAGCUCAACUUUAGAGAGGCCAACUCUAAAACUGUAUUAAAGCACUUUACUAGCAAGGAACAAGAUGGAUCUGUGCUACAACACCUUAGAUCUAGCCUAAUCACCCUUAGUCUUCCUAACCCAUGAAUCCAAAUAUGACUACUCACUAAUCUUCAUGAUAAACCCAAAAAUCAAUGAUGAUUUGGUGUUAAUCAUGAUUAGUGAUCAAAUUAACAAAGCAAUCCCAAAGGAUAAUGAUCAAGAUUAGGUCUUUUACCUAAAGGUUCUUUUUUGAUUAGAUAGAAAACAAGAUAAGUCCCAACUUUAGGAUUACAAGAGUAUUUAUAUGUCAUUGGUAAACCUAAUGGUUUCCAUUAAAAAGUCUAAAAAACCCCUUAAAAACAUUAAAAUCCGACUAAAGAUAAGUUUCGACUCGGGUAGAAAUGGACGGGCACAACCCGCGUCGGAUCGUCGUCGAGGCUUCUCCGUCAUGCGCGCGGGUAGGCGAUCCCGCGUGGCUCCAUCCCGCAUGACUCUAUCGGUUCCUUCUCUUCGUGACGCGGGUAAGGGAACCCGCGUGAGCUCAACCCGCGUCAAGACGUUGAGCAGCUUCAUUAUCGUGCGUGCGGGUAGGCCAUCCCGCGUGAUCCAAGCCGCGUUAGAUCGUCGAUGAUGCUGCUUCUUCAUGCGCGCGGGUAAUGGAUCCCGCAUCGUUCGACCCGCGCUGGAGCUCAUGUUGCGUCCUCUCGACUCGGCGAAGCGGGUGAGUGAACCCGCGUUGGCUUAACCCGAGUUGAACUCGUCUGAUCCGGAACAAUGUUCAUUCUUCACUCCUUUUUAACCAAAAUGUUUCCAAACACCUCCAAUCACUCCAUAGGACACUCCAAUACCUGAUAAAGACAUAUGAAUGCAAUAUGGAUCCUAAAGAUGCUAAAUUCCUAAUCUAUAUGAUCAUUAUGUGCAAAAUGGAGACUUAAAACAAUGCAAAUAUGCAAGAUAUCAACUCCCCCAAACUUGUUCUUUACUUGUCCUCAAGUGAACUUGCAAGAACUCAUAUAGGAGAGAGGUUUGAAGGUGGGAACUCAUAGCCAAAAGUAACACUUCCUAGCACUCAACUUAAUAUCCUAAAGAAACAUAGCAAAUAGCAUGAGCAACUCUCUUAUUAUACUCUAGCUUCUUUAGGCCUAUCCCUACUCUUAUGCCUCUCACAAGUCGCAAUACUCAUCAACUAACAAGUCCCUUCAACCAGCUCUCACAUUGAUUCACACACACGCACGCAAGGUGAAUUCUCACAAAUGGGCACAUGAUCUCAAUCAUUUGGCUAGGUAAGCAAUGGUCUAAUAUGAAUGAAGAGAAGGGUUCAAAUGUUAUCAUUUCAAGGUGGUUAUCACUCAAAAACAAAGAGCUUGAUCAUUAUGCAAAAUUUAUCUAAGACUAGAAGCAACUCAUGCAUACAUAGAUUCAUUCUCAUCAUUCUACCCCUUUUUUUCUUUUUUAAGUUAUCACAAGUUCUACCCUUUUAUCAUCAUCUCAAAACUAAAAUAACACCCACACACAUCACUCACCCAAUGAACAACUCUCUUUUUCUUUUGACUCAACCAACUAGGGAUUUUAAUUCACUUUUUACAUGCUCUAGCUCUUUCUCAUUUCCUUCCCCACCUUCUCUUUGAUUCUUUUCUCUCUUUUUUUUUUAUAAGGACCCCUCUCACCAUCCCCAAAUGCUAACUCAUUGUGCUAGCAAGAGAUGAGAAUAAACCUAUGUCGCCUCCAAUACUCUCAAGAUUUUGCACAUGACAAGCUAUCAAAAGAGGCCUCACUCAUGCAAUUCAAUGUUUGGUCUCAAAGAAUGGUUAGGGUUUUAGGGUAAGGAGUGCCAUUUGGGUUAACAAAGAUAGGUAUGAAGGAAUAAGAUAACCCAAAUGUGUAUGAGAUCCAUGAUCAAGUGUGCAAAUGCCCAUAUGCAAGAGAGAUUAAGUUCAUUCAAGCCAAGUUCAGAUUGGAGCUGAUCUUAAGAACAAUGCCAAUAUCAAGCAAGCAAACAAGUUUCAAGAAGAGUUUUCAAGGCUCGAAACGUGCAAGGCUUUCAAGAGAUGCUUAAGAUACUUGAUAUGUUUAACUUGGGUGUCACUUUGAGUUCUAGACAAGAGUUACUUUACAAGGCAUUUUAAAUCAUUGUUCCUAAUGCAAGUGAAAUGCAACCUAUAUGCUCUAGACUCAAUCCUAAAAGUGCAAGUGAUGCAACUACAUGUUUCUUUUUGUGUUUUUCAAAUUUUUUAAUUUUUUUGGUUUUUCUAUGCAUAUAUGUAUGUACAAUGCAAUGCAUGAGACUCAAAUCAUCAAAGAAAACAUGAUCAAAUACUUGAUACCUCCCCCAAACUUUGUUCACACAGUCUCUGUGUUAGAAAGUUGGAGGAGAUACCGAAAAGAGAAAUAAAUGCAAAGAAAAAAAAACUGGUAUAUACAAUGGUAAGGUGAGGGUGAUACCUGGCUAAGCAAAGGAGGAGGCUCCCUCCGUGUCGUCGUCGUCGUCUGCGGUAGCGACUGAAGGAGACUCGUUGGAGGAGGCUCGGGGGGGAGGGGCUAAGCUGUUUCUUGGUGGCGGGGAAACUGAGUGCCAAAGGAUCUAUUGGGGGCUGCGGCUGGGGGGUAAGGAAGUCAAAGUCUGAUGAUGAGCAUCCUGCCACAGCUCCUCUAGUCAGUAUAUCAGCCACCUUCUUCAUGAACUGAGCUGAAGCUUCUGCUUGCCUCUUCACAGUCUUACUCAACUUCUUACAUUUGUCCUUGAGCUUGAAGAUAGUUCUGUCCUGAGCUUUGUUCCACCUUUGGAGGUUGCCAAUAUGCUCAUGAGCUUGGCAACGGGGACCAUUCGGUAAGGCUCCAGGACGUUGCUCAAAGUGGUAACGAGGAGGACCAAAGAGGAGCUCAGAGUUUAAACCGGAAGUGUCCUCUUGGAACACACCACAUCUAUUUGCAGUCUUCUUCUUCUUGGGAGAUCUCAUGGGGCCUAGAGUACCAUGGGGUUCAAGGAGGUGUUCUUCCCCAAUAUCAAAGCUAAUAGCUCCUGGUCGCGUCAAGCUCGUGAGGUCCCAAUUUGGGAGAAGCACUUCAACCUCCUUUGUAGACUGUAGGUAAGAGUAGACACAAGUUCCCUCGAACCUUCCACUGAAGUACUGAGCUUUCUUCAAGUAGCUUCCAUCCAUGAAAGCGGGACCAGUUGGAUCAUCUUCUAAGGGUAUAUCCUUGAACUUAAUCAGUGGAGUUAUCAAGCCACCAAUUCCAAUCUGAGGUUCCGAGUCACUCGUUGUCCAAGCCCACUCUUUGUAGUGGAUGAGGUGCUUCACAAAGAAUCCCACCAUUCCAAAAUUCUUGUAGAAAUCAGUGCUGACAAGAGGCAACUGAGAUGGGUGAGCAUAAUGUUGGACGGUUUGGUGAAGAAGUUGUAGCUCCUCAUCAUUAACAGUGUCUGGUUCUUUCCUUGGGAAAAUGGUGUGGACAAUCAACCGGUGGAGAUAGCGCACGGAAGGAUGGCGAAUGGAGGCGUUCUUGUCGCGGCUUGCCUUGCGACUCUUCCCCGCCAACACCUUCCAAACCAUUUUGGCAAUGUUCUCCUCCUUAGUUGCAUCAUAAGGUAUGGGGAUGGAUGAUUCCUCCAAAUCCUUAAGACAAAGUGUUUGUCCAACCUCCUUGAAGGUCAUGUAGUAAACCUUCCCAUGGAUCUUGAAUUUGAUCUUUCCCCAUCCUUGCCUCACAUGUUUGGUGGUGUGAAAGGUGGCCUCUAAUGAUGCCAAGAACUAACAUGACUCAUCUUCAUAGGUAGGGUAGACCAUAGUGAAUAAGCUUUGCAUGUUCAUGUGCUCCAACAUUUGCUUAAUGUCGUCACCUAUCUCCAACUCUUCCAUAAUCUUGAUAUCCGUAAAUCGAGUUGGAGGCCACAACACACCAUUCUUCAAAUGCCCAUAUAGCUCAUCUUCAGUUGGUGUCUUGGUUCUAUCCCUCUCAGUAUCAACCUUCUUCCCUUUAAUCACUUUGGCUUUCUUGAGGGGAGCUGGUCUUCUUCAGUGAUGUCUUCAUUUUCCUCCACUUGAGGAAGAGCUACCCCCUUGCCUUUUGGUUCCUUAGAUCUUUUGGGAUGGGCUGGCCUUCUACCGCUAGCAUCCAAUCCCUCGGCAGUUAUAACCCGCUUGCCAUCUCUCUUCUUUGCCGCCAAGGCUUGUUGCCUAGAAGUUCCUCCCGUUGUAGAUUCGGAGGUUAAAGGCUUCCUAUGUCUAGCAGUCUCUUGCUUGGCAAGUUCUUGUUUCUCGGUCUCUAUCUUGUGUUGAUCAUUUCUCCCCAUUUGUACCUGACAAUAUCAAACCUUGGAAAAGGAUAAGCAAAUGGAAGUAGGAAACUUGAUAAUGCAAAUGUUAAUUCAAUUCAUGAUCACUUAGCUUAAGCAAAACUAUCACAUUGCACACAAGUUAUUGAUAUAAGGCCACAAGAGAUGGAUGUAAGCAAAGAAUAAUGCUUUUAAGCAAAAUUUAAGCAUCAAAUGAGUUCUUCAAUUAGAAAGUUCUCUAAUUAAGUUCUCAAACUCCCUAACUAACCAAACCAAGCCAAAGUCAUAUAGAAUUAUAGUAUUUUCGAAAAAUCCCCAAAUCUCAUGAACCCUAAUUUUUAAAGUUCAAAUUCAACUCAAAUUCACCAUAGAAUCAACAACCCAACAUGAUAUAUUAGCUUUCUCUAGUCUAUUUCACAAGAAUUAAGCAAGAGAAAGAUCAAAUUUCAAGUUCAAAUUUCUAGGGUUCAUGAGGCCUACGAAAUUGAUCCUUGUGAUACAAUACUUUUCUUUGGAUGAAAGGAAAUGACAAGUUGAAUCAAGAAAACAGACUACAGGGGCGAAAGCUUGGAUUCAAGAAAAAGAAUGGAGUGAUUUGGUGGAGAAUUGAGUAAGAUAUGGGGUGAUUUGGUGUGGGAGGUUUGGAUGUUUUGUGAAAGAGAGAUAGAGGAAAAGGGAGAGAGAGACGCGGGUAGGGGGUGUUUUAGGGUUGAACCGGGUCGGUUUGUCGGGUCAGGUCACCGGGUUUAAGGGUAGAAAUCAUACCUGAGCGGGUUUUGACCCGUCGACGCGGGUGGGAGAAACUCGUGCGACCCCGCGUGCGUCACCCUGCGUCAUAAUAUCUCCGAAUGCAACUGUCGUGCGAGCGGGUAGAGGAACCCGCGUGACCUCAACCCGCGUGAGAUUUUCGUCACCGACCAAAUUCGUGCGAGCGGGUAAGGGAACCCGCGUCGCUUAACCCACAUUGGCUCCUCUAGAGAUCUCUUCAGCUCGCGUCAUGCGGGUAAGCUAUCCCGCGUGAGUUACUCCAUACCAUUUUUUUUUUAUGUACAAGGAUAGACAUGGGACUUCCUCCCAAGUGAGCUUGUUUUAAGUCUCUAGCUUGACUUUGUUUUCCUUUGGCUAGGUGGUGACGGGGUCGGAGAGUGAAACCGAGAUUCUUUCCUCCUCCAUUGUGGUUCCCAUGUAGAGCUUAACUCUUUGUCCAUUGACUGUAAAGUCUCCACCAUUCUUGUCCCAUAACACAAUUGCCCCAUAUGGCCUAACUUCCUUUAUCUUGAAAGGACCGGACCAUCUUGACUUGAGCUUCCCAGGAAACAACUUCAGUCUAGAUUUGUAGAGAAGCACUUGAUCUCCAGCACUGAAUUCUCUCUUCAAGAUCUUCUUGUCAUGAAAAGCUUUGGUUUUCUCCUUAUAAAUCCUUGAGUUCUCAAAAGCAUCCAGUCUAAUCUCAUCAAGCUCAUUGAGUUGGAGAAGUCUCUUCUCUUUGGCACUCUUGAUAACGAAAUUUAGCAACUUAACAGCCCACAAUGCCUUGUACUCAAGCUCAACUGGUAGAUGACAAGCCUUUCCAUACACAAGGUUGAAAGGUGUGGUUCCCGAAGGAGUCUUGUAAGCAGUCCUAUAAGCCAAAAGUGCAUCAUCUAGCUUGAUAGACCAAUCCUUUCUUGUAGUUCCCAUAGUUUUCUCCAAAAUAGACUUAAUUUCUCUGUUGGAGAUCUCAACUUGACCACUUGUUUGAGGAUGGUAAGGGGUAUCAACCUUAUGCUUCACACCAUUCUUCUUGAGAAGAUUCUCAAACAGCUUGUUGAUGAAAUGAGAUCCUCCAUCACUGAUCACAACUCUUGGGACUCCAAAUCUUGGAAAGAUGGUGCUCUUGAACAUCUUGAUCACCACUCUAGAAUCAUUGGUGGGACUUGCUACAGCUGCCACCCACUUGGAGACAUAGUCAACAGCUACGAGGAUGUAUUUAUUGCCAAAAGAUGAUGGGAAUGGUCCCAUGAAAUCAAUACCCCAUACAUCAAACACCUCCACUUCUAGAAUUGGGUUUUGAGGCAUCACAUUCAUUUUGGUGAUGUUCCCUCUCCUUUGGCAUGAAUCAUACUUAGCGACAAAGUCUUGAGUGUCUUUGAAUAUAUGAGGCCACCAAAACCCAGCUUGUAACACCUUCGAAACAGUCUUGAAAGUAGCGAAAUGGCCUCCAUAGGAUGAUCCAUGACAGUGUGUAAGGAUCCCUUCAACUUCUUCUUCAGCUACUACUCUUCUAUAGAGUUGAUCUCUACAAAGGACGUAGAGGUAAGGCUCAUCCCAAUAGUAUCUCUUCACAUCUUUGUAGAACUUCUUCUUGGCAUAUCCUUCAAGACCCAUUGGUUCUCUUCCACAAGCUAAGUAGUACACCAAAUCAGCAUACCAAGGGCCUUUCUCUUCAUUUGCCUUCACCUCUUCAAGCUUCUUUCCAGUAUCACAAACUGCUACCACUGUUCUAAUUGCCAUGAUUUGUUCUUCUGGAAGCCCUUCAUCAAUGGGGAUCCCACACUCAAUCUUCAGUCUAGACAAGUGAUCAGCUACACCAUUCUCAACUCAUGGCUUGUCUUUGAUCUCAAGGUCAAACUCUUGUAACAGCAAGAUCCACCUCAACAGCCUUGGCUUAGCAUCCUUCUUGGCCAUGAGGUGUCUUAAUGCAGUAUGAUCAGUGUGGACUAUGACUUUUGACCCAACCAAAUAGCUUCUGAACUUCUCAAAGGCAUAGACAAUGGCUAGCAGCUCCUUCUCAGUUGUAGCAUACUUCAUUUGGGCUUCAUCAAGAGUUUUACUCGCAUAGUAGAUCACAUGAGUCUUCUUGUCCUUCUUUUGGCCAAGAACAGCUCCCACAGCAUAGUCACUAGCAUCACACAUGAUCUCAAAGGGAAGAUCCCAAUCUUGUGGCUGCACAAUGGGGGCACUAACCAGCUUGUCCUUCAACUUCUUGAAUGCUUAUAGACAUUCCCAAUUAAAGUUGAAUGUAGCUUCCUUGCAUAGAAGCUUAGUCAUUGGCCUAGCUAUCAUGGAGAAGUCUUUGAUGAAUCUUCUAUAGAACCCAGCAUGACCAAGGAAGCUUCUAAUAUCUUUCACUGUCUUUGGUGGAGCUAACCCAACCAUCACUUCAAUCUUAGCCUUUUCCACCUCAAUCUCUUUCUCUGAAAUCUUGUGUCCAAGCACAAUCCCUUCUUUAACCAUGAAGUGACACUUUUCCCAGUUCAGCACAAGGUUGAUGUCUUCACAUCGCUUUAGGACCCUGCUAAGAUUGGACAAACAAGCAGAAAACGAAGAUCCGUAGACGGAGAAGUCAUCCAUGAACACCUCCACAACAUCUUCUAUAAGAUCAGAGAAAAUAGACAUCAUGCACCUUUGGAAGGUGGCUGGAGCAUUACAUAGCCCAAAUGGCAUCCUUCGAUAAGCAAAAGUACCAUAAGGGCAUGUGAAUGUUGUUUUCUCUUGAUCAUUUGGAUGUAUGGGUAUUUGGAAGAACCCUGAAUACCCAUCAAGAAAUCAAUAAUAGAGAUGAUUUGCAAGUCUCUCAAGCAUUUGAUCAAUGAAUGGCAAUGGAAAAUGAUCCUUUCUAGAUGCUGAGUUUAAUUUUCUAUAAUCUAUGCACAUCCUAUGUCCUGUUAUUGUUCUUGUUGGAAUUAGUUCAUUCUUAUCAUUUUUAACCACAGUUAUUCCACCCUUUUUUGGGACAACAUGCACAGGAGACACCCAUUUGCUAUCCGAAAUAGGAUAGAUUACUCCUGCAUCUAGGAGUUUUAGAAUCUCUUUCUUAACAACAUCUUUCAAGUUGGGGUUCAACCUUCUUUGAUGUUCUAUAGAAGUCAUAGAUUCAUCCUCUAGAUGUAUCCUAUGCAUGCAUGAAGAAGGUGACAACCCUUUAAUAUCAUCUAGUGAGUAGCCUAUUGUCUUUCUAUACUUUUUCAGUUCAUUCAAAAGUUUAGACAAUUCAUUUUCAUUCAGUUCACUACUCACUAUGACAGGGUAAGUCUCAUUAGGGCCAAGAAAAGCAUACCUUACACCUUGGGGAAGAGGUUUAAGCUCCACUUUAGGCGCCUUGAGUUCACUCCAGUCCUCUUGAUGAAUGUCUUCUUGUUGAGUAGCUGAGGCAGCAUGUUGAAUCUCAUGUGUAAGCUCCUCAUUCUGAUCCUCACCACCAAUCUCCUUGUGAGAAUCCAACACCUUCACAUAGGCAUCACUUUUCUUGUUCUCAAUCACUUGGACCUCUCUUUCAAUUGUUAAAGCAUGCUGUAGAGGGUCUUCAAGUGCCAACUCCUCUAGAAGCUCAUCAGCUAGAGCAUCCAUUUCAUCUAUGUAGAAAACUUGGUUCUGAAUGGUUGGCCUCUUCAUCACUUCAUUGAUGUCGAAGUGGACGAUGUUCCCUUUUCAAAGAUGAAGAUCAAUCUUUCCUUCUCUAACAUUCACAAAAGCUCCUGCUGUGGUUAAGAAUGGUCUUCCAAGGAUCAAAGGGUCUCUGGCUUCCUCACCCAUCUCCAACACAACAAAAUUAGUAGGGAUCUCAAAGUUACCAACCAUCAAGGGAAGGUCUUCUAGGAUACCAACAGGAAUCUUUACUGAUCUAUCAGCCAACACCAAAGAGAGUCUACACUUCUUGUAUUGAGUAAAUCCAAGCUUUUUUGCAAUAAACAAAGGCAUCAAGCUGACACUAGCUCCAAGAUCGCAUAGACACCGCUCAAACACCAUAGGUCCUAGAGCACAAGGUAAGGUGAAACAUCCUGGAUCUUCUAGCUUUCUUGGAACAUCUAACCUCUGGAUAAUGGCGCUGCAUUCGUGUGUUAAGAUCAUCAUACCUUCUAUCUCUUUCUUUUUUGCAGCCACAACAUCUUUCAAGAAUUUUCCGUACUGAGGGACAAACAUAAAAGCAUCAAUGAUGGGCAUUGUGACCUGAACUUCACUCAUUUGUUUCUCAAAGAGUGCCCUGUACUUCUCCAAUAGCUGUCUUUUGAAUCUUCCAGGGAAUGGCAGCUUUGGCUCAUAGGGAGGAGGAACAAAAGAGGAUUCCUUCGUUGGAGUAGCAGUUUCACCAUGUUUCACUGUCCUCUUUUCCUGUCCAACCUUCCCUUUACCCUUAGCUUCAACAAUCUUUUCCAGAAUCUCUUCAUCAACCUUCUCAUCUACAAUCACCACUUCAUCAUCAAUGUUUAUGGCCACCUCCCCACCUUGUUUUUCACCAUCCUUGGUGAGAACUCUUGGAGGCAACUCUCUACCACUCUGUAGGGUGAUUGCCUUCAUUGUUUCCAUGGGAUUUGCUCUGGCUUUCCAGGUAAUGACCCUUGUUGGCGACUUGGCUGAGAAUUCAAAGAAGCAAACUGGUUCUCCAAAUUUCGGAUCUUGUUGUUGAGCUCAUUGUAGCUUCCAUCAAUCUUGGAGUGAAUGUUCUUGAACUCAUAGCCCAUUGUUUUCUCAUUCUUUACCUGAAAAUCCAAGAGUUUUUUGAACUUUGCAUCCACACUUGUAUCUGAAGCUGGAGCUUGUGAAGAACUUCCUUGGACUUGAGUAGACUGAUUGCUGUGAUUGUUGAAACCAGGAGGGAUGUUUUACCUAGGCUGAUAGCCCCUUGCUGAAUGUUCUGCUUUGGCUGGUAGCCUCCUUGCUGGUUGUUGGAGUAAGACCUUUGCUGGUAGUUGUUGUACUGAAAGUUAGGUUUCUUCCUGUACCAAGUACCAUUGUUGUUGAUGAAGCAUAGCUCUUCUUGGCCUUCAAAACCAUCAACCUCAUUGACCUUAGGAGGAACCUCUUGACUAGGACCACCCACAAAGUUCAUCUGCUCCUGUUUAGCUUGGUUGGAAAGAAGCAAAUCCAUCUUCUCUUGCAAGGACUUGAUCUCUUUCUUUGUCUGCUGAUCAUCACUUCUGUUGACCCUAUCAUGCUCCUCACUGUACACCGAGUCACUCUUGGCCAUGUUCUCUACUAGUUCCUCUGCCUCUUCCUCAGUUCUUCCCAAGAAGAAACCAUUGCUGGCAGUAUCAAGCAUGUUUCUGCACUGUGGUAGAGCUCCUCUAUAGAAAAUGCUAAGCAAACUCUCCUUGCUGAAACCAUGAUGAGGGCAUUGAGAACAUUAGCCCUUGAACCUCUCCCAUGCUUCACUGAAGCUCUCUAGACCUUUCUGUUGAAACCCAGAUAUUUCAUUCUUGAUCUUAGUUGUUCUUGAAGUAGAGAAGAACUUGUCCAGGAAAGCUCUCUUACACUCUUCCCAAGUAGUGACAGUGUCACUUGGGAGAGUCUUCUCCCACUGGUGUGCCUUGUCUCCCAAAGAGAAAGGGAACAGCUUCAACUUGAAAGCAUCUUCAGAAAUACCAUUAGUCUUGGACAAGCCACAAUAUUUAUCAAACUUGUACAAGUGAUCAAAAGGGUCUUCAGCAGCAAGACCAUGAUACUUGUUGUUCUCUAUGGUGUUGAGCAGUCCUGACUUGAUCUCAAAGUUGUUGUUCUCCACUGGUGGUGCUCUGAUUCCCAACCUAUGACCAUUAAUGUGAGGUGGAUCAUAGGCUUCAAUGGCACGAGCUUGGCGCGGUGGAUGUUGUGGCUGGCGCUGUGGUUGAAGGUGAUCAGCUCUUGGAUCAAUGCCCCCUAGGGCAUCACCAUCUUGAGGCAGAUUCUCCAUAUCAAAUCCCAACCUUUGCAAGUGAGCCUGUUGCUCUACUUCUCUUCUCUGUCUUGCAAUCUCCCUCUCAAGUGCUCUAAUGUCUUCCACUCUUGGAACUAGGUUUGUUGCAUCUCUGCUUCUUGUGAUCAUACACCUGAAAUGCAAAGGGAGAAAAAGAAAGAGAAGCAAUAACACAAUUAAAUAAAAAUUGACUUAGUCUCAAGCAAGUGACUAAAUCCCAAUGUCACAAUCAACUUAGAAUUUGGCAACGGCGCCAAUUUGAUGUUAGGAGUUUUCAAGGCUCCUAAUCAAAUGCUAUAGUAUAAAGGAUGUCUAACCAUGUCUAAGUGAUUCUAAAGCAAAGAGAAUGAAAGACCAUGCUUAAUCUAAAUGCUAUCAAUUGGCAAGAUGAUUUUGAACUAGAAUACUACUAAAAUGCAAUAAAGAACAAAGCUUUUCUUUCUUAUGAGAUGGGAGAAUUCAUAGGCUAAGGAAAUUGACCUUGGGUGAUCAAGUUUCAAUCUAAAGGUAGUAUCUUUCAAUCAAUCUAUCAACCUUAGACCUAGACACAAUCCUAAACAAACUCUAUCUCUAGAUGAAUGUUCAUUCACUAAGAUAACUCAAGCAUCAAAUUUCUUUGGUUGAAUAUUAUCUAAGCAAUCAUUAAUUUCAAGUCCAUUUCUUUGGUUGAAUAUUAUCUAAGCCAUCUUAACAUCUUUAACAUCAAAUCUCUUUGGUAAAGAAUGUUAAAAGCUUAGUAGAGUUGGUUCAUGCAUUUCAUCGAACACCUUUCGGGUAUGAAAUGCCUAAAGCUCAACUUUAGAGAGGCCAACUCUAAAACUGUAUUAAAGCACUUUACUAGCAAGGAACAAGAUGGAUCUGUGCUACAACACCUUAGAUCUAGCCUAAUCACCCUUAGUCUUCCUAACCCAUGAAUCCAAAUAUGACUACUCACUAAUCUUCAUGAUAAACCCAAGAAUCAAUGAUGAUUUGGUGUUAAUCAUGAUUAGUGAUCAAAUUAACAAAGCAAUCCCAAAGGAUAAUGAUCAAGAUUAGGUCUUUUACCUAAAGGUUCCUUUUUGAUUAGAUAGAAAACAAGAUAAGUCUCAACUUUGGGAUUACAAGAGUAUUUAUAUGUCAUUGGUAAACCUAAUGGUUUCCAUUAAAAAGUCUAAAAAGCCCCUUAAAAACAUUAAAAUCUGACUAAAGAUAAGUUUUGACUCGGGUAGAAAUGGACGGGCACAACCCACGUCAGCCAACCCGCGUCGGAUCGUCGUCAAGGCUUCUACUCAUGCGCGCGGGUAGGCGAUCCCGUGUGGCUCCAUCCCGCGUGACUCUAUCGGUUCCUUCUCUUCGUGAUGCGGGUAAGGGAACCCGCGUGAGCUCAACCUGCGUCAAGACGUCGAGAAGCUCCAUUCUCGUGCGUGCGGGUAGGCCAUCCCGCGUGAUCCAAGCCGCGUUGGAUCGUCGAUGAUGCUGCUUCUUCAUGCGCGCGGGUAAUGGAUCCCGCGUUGUUCGACCCGCGCUGGAGCUCAUGUUACGUCCUCUCGACUCGGCGACGCGGGUGAGUGAACCCGUGUUGGCUUAACCCGAGUUGAACUCGUCAGAUCCGGAAAAAUGUUCAUUAUUCACUCCUUUUUAACCAAAAUGUUUCCAAACACCUCCAAUCACUCCAUAGGACACUCCAAUACCUGAUAAAGACAUAUGAAUGCAAUAUGAAUCCUAAAGAUGCUAAAUUCCUAAUCUAUAUGAUCAUUAUGUGCAAAAUGGAGACUUAAAGCAAUGCAAAUAUGCAAGAUAUCAUCAGCCAAAGUCCUUUUCACCCAUGUAUCCUUACCAGGAGUCUCGCCGACUAACGAUGGACUAUUGACAUACUUCUGCUGCGUAUUCUGCUGCGGUGAUGGCAAAGAUUCUUCUUCGCCGCCGUUUGAGAGGUUAUCAUAGUUUUCGGGAAUUUUCCCUACAAUUUUCAGACGCUCCUCCACUAAAGCUUUCACCAUGUCAUCAAUGGUCUUCUGGUCCAUCAAUGGUCUGUUCCGUUCUAACUCGUAAGCGUCAAACCGUGAGUCAAUCUGAUCAAAUUUUCUGGAAAUAUUCUCCAGAGUACUCACAAUGGUCGCCAUAGUCGCUUUGUUCUCCAAAUCUUUGCUACCUUCCUCCUCGCUAGAACCCUUUCCCGUUGCAGCAGCUUAACCCUCAAUGUUGUUCACUUCAUUCUUUGUCUUAACUUUCUUCUGCUUCUUAGUGGGUGGCUCAGCUUCUGACGAAACUCCACCCUUCAUUUUCUUCUUCUUCUCAUUCCCCUUCCCCUGCGCAUUCCCCUGGACUUUCCAAAAACCUUUCACAAAUCUACCUGCAUGUAUGUUUGUUAUCAAGCUAACGAGUUGUGGGUCGUCAGGUUCACCCGGCCAUUUAGGAAACAUCUCUUCAAUUGAGUCCUUCAAAACCAUUCUCCUCACACGCACCUGCAACACCAGGUUAUAAUUAAACUCAGCCACCAAAAUAACCCAUAACUCAGCCAUCAAAUAUAAUAAAUCAGCCAUAAAAAAAAACUAAAAACUCAGCGUUAAACCUUACCUCGCCAUGUUCUUUGAUUUCGGCAGCCAACAAGUUAUCAAAACUUGCACGUGUACGCUUUCCACCCCAUCGCAAAAGCGGAACAUCUUCAUUAUUCACCACUCUCCCAAAACUCUCACCGACGCAGGCGACGGAUUCAUACGCCCAAAUCAAUAACGCGACGGUCAUGCCACUUAUUGUGUAUGACCCUCCUUCUGGAGCCAACGUUUUAAUAGAGUCAAUGAGAACUUUGUAUGCAGUCCGACCCCAUGGAUACGACCCCAUGGCUUCAUCGUCGAAUACCCUUAUUGCACUUUCAAAAGGUAUCCUUGAAUUGUGAUGCAAACAAUAGACUCCCAUGGCUUGAAGAAGUAGCAGCCCCAACCACUUACGCUUUUCAAAACUCCAAAGCGGACAGAACGCUAAUGCUUCCCUCAGUUCAUCUAACUUGGGUCCCAUCCCAAGCGGCACCUUCAACUCCUCCCAAAAUUCUUUGUAUUGAUCAGGUUCAAAACUUUCUGUUGGCAAUGGGCAUGUGUUUAACCCAGUGAUCUCACCAAACUCGAGCAAGCUAAACCUUAUAGCCUCAUCAACCACGAGACACCAUAUCUCCUUCUUAUGUACUCGCAGCUGUCUACAUAGUAAAUAGUGUACGAUCCUACCAGACCAUAUGCUUUCGCGUCCAGCUAGCCUAGCAACUACUCCAAUGGGAGAGUUCACCAGUUCUUCCCACACAUCAAGUCCUAUUGUUUCUCUAAUGUGGGGGAAAUUUCCUAGACGGAAAUUGUGAUUAAUAUCUUUUUUUCUAGGUUAGAAGACCCUUCAGGGUAAAGUCUUGGAGGGAAAUCCCGUGAUUUAAUUUCAGCAACAUCCAUCUGAUCAUAUAACCCAAAAAUAAACCAGCCACAAGAUAACAAUAACACAGCCAUAACAUAACAAUAACUCAACAAAAUAAAAAUAACUCAGCAACAACAUAACAAUAACUAAGCCAUAACAUAACAAUUCCUCAGUCACGACAUAGCGAUAACUCAGCCAUAACAUAACAAUUACUCAGUCAUAACAUAGCCCUAACUCAGUCGCAACAAAACCCUAACUCAGACGCAACAAAACCCUCAACCAUAUCACAGCCGCAACAUAACCCUAUCUCAGUCGCAACAAAAUAUAUAACUAAGAUGAAAUAUAAUAUAUAACUGACCCACAAACUCAACCAAAACACAAUAUAUAACGUCGCGACAUCCUACAGGAAAAGACAAACUCGUAGAUAAGAAUGCGGCGAAGACGAUUUCGUACAAACGAUUGAAGACGACGAUUUCGGGAAAAACGAUAUCAGAGAAGACACAGUAUCAACGACAGAGAGAUAGUUCGAGGAAGACGAAGUACACGACAAUGUUCUUCGUUUCUUUUUUUUAACCCCUAUGUAGUUGUGGAGAAGGAGACGGUUUGAUUCUAUUUUGCUUAUGUGGAUUGUUAAUUACUGAUGUGGAUUUUGUGUUUAAAAAUAAUUUCAAUUAAAAAAAAACUAACCAAACGCCCUUAUUGUCAUUUACUAGGUGUAUCCAAACAUUAUAGUAAUUUAAAAAAGAUGUAUAAUACUCUAGUAAUAAACCAACUUUUCUUAUAUAUUCUAGUAAUUUUCUCUAUCUAUAUAUACCAAAUUUUGUACUUGUUGACAUUAUCUUUUUUUUAUAGGAAAUUUUUUUUUUCAAUCCAACGGUCAUAAUUUUUUGUUUUUAUGAUCUAAGGGAUAUAAAAUAUUCUUGCUAUAAAUGUUGAUCUCACCAAGAAAAUUAUAUUUGGCAGCUCUUUCCUGAACAGUUAUAUAUUUAAACAAUACAUCUUUUAUAAUGUAACAAACAUAUAAUUUCAUAAUUUUUACAUAUUUAAAAAAAAAUUAAAAUGUUACAAUCCGAUAGUCAUAAUUGUCUGUUUUAUUAUCUAAAAGUCUUUAUAUUAUCUUGGUUUAGAUGGUUUAAGUCUUGUCCCAACUCCUUUCUGAAGAGAUUCCUUUUCAAACAACACACAUCUUAUAACGCAGCAAAAUAUGUACAAAACAUCUCUACCGACAUACGUUAUGUCUACUUUUCUGCUCCCAUUGGAGAUUUGUGAAAACCUUGCCAGUGCCAUUGCACAGUUCUGGUGGAGUUCAAAUCCACCAAAAAGAGGGAUACACUGGGCGAAGUGGGAGAAAGUAUGUUUACCAAGAGUGGAGGGUGGAAUUGGUUUUCGUAUGAUCCAUGAGUUCAAUCUGGCCCUAUUGGCGAAAUAACUAUGGAGGCUACUUCAGUUCCCUGAUUCUCUGGUUGCACGGGUAUUGAAUGGAAGAUACUAUAGAUUGAGUUCUCCACUAAGAGUGAAUACUGCUACCAGCCCAUCCUAUGUGUGGAAGAGCAUUACUGCAGCAAGGAAGUUGUUAUUAUUAGGGAUCAGACAGAAGAUACAUUCAGGGUACGAAGUCAAGGUGUGGGAGGAUCCCUAGAUUCCAACGACCCCUACGAGACCAGCUAUCUCCAUAGCGCCAGCCAUGCACCCUAAUAUGAGAGUCAGCGAUCUCAUUGAUCAGGUAUCGAAGGAGUGGGAUGUUGGUCUACUGGAGAAUUAUGUUAGUCCUGAGGACAUACCUCUCAUAAGGAGUUUAACCAUAAGCUCAACUCAUAGUCGAGAUACUUUCUGCUGGAACUACACAAAGAAUGGUCAAUACACGAUUAAAUCUGGAUAUUGGGUGGCACAUAAUGUAUUAAAACCAGCGGUAGAGAAGGAAGUUGUAUAAAUCUGGAACCAUAAGCUCAACUCAUCGUCGAGAUACUUUCUGCUGGAACUACACAAAGAAUGGCCAAUACACAGUAAAUCUGGAUAUUGGGUGGCACAGAAUGUAUUAAAACCAGCGGUAGAGAAGGAAGUUGUAGAGCCAAGCAUCACAAGGCUCCAAGCCUCUGCCUGGAAGGUAAAGGCGCCGAAGAAGAUAUGUCAUCUUAUAUGGCAACUGGUGACUGGUCAUGUGGCAGUAAGGAGGAACUUAACAAGACGCAAUAUGAAGUGUGACAAUUACUGUCCAAGAUGCGGAGAAUUAGAGGAAAUUGUGACCCAUGCAUUUUUUGAAUGUCCGCCAGCUCUUCAAUUUUGGUCAUUAUCAUCGACUCCAACAAGCCCAUAUAUAUUUCCGGUAUCAAGCGUCUACACAAAUAUGGAUUAUCUGUUUUGGAGGAAGAAUAGCAUCAUCGAGAGCCAGAACAAGACAGGGAUCCCUAUCCCUGAAUAUUAUGGUAUAUUUGGAAGGCUAGGAAUGACAAACUCUUCAGGGGAAUAGAUAGAGAUCCUUUGGAGCUAGUUCGACAUGCAGAGAGUGAAUGCCAAGCCUUGUUUGAUGCUAACGAUGCGGUACAACCAGUGGUACAACCAGUGGUUCAAGAUAAUAUCCAUGAGGUAUCCCAAGUCAUACGUUUGGGUAAUAUUUGCUUGUUAGAUGGAUCUUGGACAUCUUAUGCUCACUUUAGUGGAUGCGGCUGGGUAUGGAUGGACAGAGCUGGGAACAUUCAACUUAUGGGAACAAAGAAUUUCACUCGACGCGAAUCAGCUUUGCAUUCGGAAGUAGAAGCACUGCGGUGGACGAUGGAAAAUAUGCUUCAACACUCAACAUGCCAGAGCUUCGGGACAGACUACAAGAAGCCGAUUGCAAUGAUAAAGAACCCCCAGGCUUGGCCAAGCUUUGCGACAGAAUUGGAGAGGAUAGAGACGUUACAGAUAUGCUUCCCGGACUUCAACAUCAUUCAUGUUCCACGGGCGCGCAAUCAGACUUCAGAUUUUUUAGCUAGGACUGCAAGAUCCUUCCAUAAGAAGUUAUUUUUUAUUGGUUGUUCUAUUCCGGUUUGGUUACCCAGACCACCUCAAGUUUGAGUUAUAGAAUGGUCUUUCGACGUAAAAAAAAAAAAAAAAACAUCUCUUCUGAGAUUCUAGAUAUUAAUAUUUGAGGAAGAAACAAAUAACCUUGAGACAUUCAUGUCUCAUCAUAGUCUUAUUUGUUUAUGUACCAUCAUAUUGUGGAAGAAAAAUAUUGAAGGAAAAUAUUAAUGUCUAACUUGUUUCUUCUCAGCGUCAUAGUCUACGACAGAAUAUGUCCAGGCUAAAUGACAUAAUAAUAUAAUAUAUUAUAUAUAUCACAAUUCUGUCUUGAUAGCAACAGAAUUAAGCAAGGUUCCUUCAGCAAAGAGUAAAUAAAAACAAUACGUAGUAGAAACUAGACUUUGUAUAUAGCGUCUCACAGAGCUUUGACAAUCGGUUGUUUUCAUGUAUAUAUCGAUAAAUAUUUUAAAUAAAUUUAAAAUAACUAAAUCAAUUUUUUAUCUAAAAAAGAAACUAAAAACUAGAAAUUUUGAAAAACAUUUUUUUGGUGAAAUUAGAUUUUUUUAAAUCUAAUUUUAGAAAAUACAUAGCUUAAAUUAUAUAUGUUUUAAUUUUUGAUUCAUCUAUAAAUAUACGAGAAAUUACCACAAAUAUCAUAUGCAUAGUAUCAAAUUUCAUGUUUACACUAACCAAUUUUACCCUCACUUUUAAUGAAAGACAAAAAACAUUUAUAUCCUAAGGUUAACUAAUCAAGACUUAGGGUUUAGAGUUGAGAGGUGAGAUAUUAUUUUUCGAAUAUGAAAUUUAGGAUUCUAAUAAAUACAUAAAUAAAUACUAAAAAAAUAGAAAUUUUUUUUAAAAAAAUGUUUCAAACAUAAUUUUCCAUUUUCAAAAACAAAUUUUAGAAAAAACAAAUUUUUAAAAAAAAAAUCAGAAAAAAAUUUAUAAAAAAAUACGAAUUUGAAAAAGUAUAAUUCGAACAAGGGUAUAAUAGUCUUUUGCCACUUAACGAAGAAGAUAUUUUUGAAAUAUUAUUUUAGUGGUGGUAAAGAUAAAUAAUGGUACCAUGAAAAUGGUAAACAUGAAAUUCCCCCUAAAUAUACUCUUGUGUCUUUGUAAUUUUGAAACACCUUUAGUUUAUUAUCUAAGACAUGAGUCUGUAAUGCUGAUGACAAAAAAAAAAAAAAAAAAAAGAUGAAAAUUGAUUUUUAGCCUUAGCUUAUUGGACUUGUUAUGCUCACAGUUUUUCUGUUCGGUUUGUAUUUAUAUUUACCAUUUUAGUAUUAUAUUCAAUAAUAAUUUAAAAUUAAAGUUAUUCUGAUACUUAUUAUUUUAUACACUGAUAUAAUUUGUAUAUCGAAUUCUAUAAUGUUACGUUUAGCAAUUUUUCAAGAAUAAUCAAUAAUGAAGAAAUAAUAUGUUUAUACUUUAAGUUUUUUUUUCCUACAAAUAUGCAAAAAAAAUCUCUCUAAGCUUAUAAAGUUUACCAAAAACAUUAGUUGCUAUUUUAAAUACAAAGACUAAAGUUAUGUUUUAACUAUUAUAAUAACAAGAGUAAUGGAGAUUGUUGAGAAAAGAGAACUACCACCUUGUAUUGAGGCAUACGGAGGGAAAAAAAUGUGAAACUACGGAUUGUAAAUCUGAAUAUGCCAGGAAAAGGAAAGGGGUUGCUCAUUGCGUUAUUGGCGGCCCAUGAUUUGGCAAAAAACUAAAACAACGAGAUGCUUUUAUCAAAAGAAUAAAAGGAAUACUUGUUCACCCUGAUUUUUUUUAUCAACAUUGAAAAUCAAAUAAUAUUUAUAAUAAUAAACACCUUUAUCAAAGGAAAAAAUAAUAUUAAACCAUCAUUAUCGAUGAAACCCUUUUUGGGUUCCUUGAAAUUUUUUUUUUUUUUUUGUGUUUUCGCUGAUUUAAAAAAAAAUUAAAAAGAAAACCAAUCGCGGGCCGCCACGUGUUAGUAAGGCCCGCGAACAGUUCAAGAACACGUGUCAGUAGAGCCCGCAAACAGUUCAAGAAACAGAUCAAAGUCGGUUCUUAACUCACCCCUUUUGUGACCUACUCUUAGCAAAUUUGUGGGGGCCACUACCUCUUUUAGUGUAAAAACCCUCUAAAAAUUAGAGAUAAUUAUGCCCUUAUUAAUUGUUAUUACUGUUUGUGACAUGAUAAAAUGUAUUAGGUUAUCCAAUAUAAAUAAAAAUAACAAAUAUUGAUAUGUCGACCGGUUUUUGCCUUUUUCUUCACUAGAGUGAAUUAAAAAUAUUAUUUUAUAGUUAGUGUUUAAUUUCAUAUAAAGUUGAAAGAAAAAAUAAAAUAAAUUUAUUUUUAACAGUGUAGGAAUCUUACAGAUAAUAAAUAAUUUUACUGUGUUUUUCUUAUUGAAUUAAUUUAUAUUUUGGUUUUUCAUGAAGUUUGAACUUAAAAUUACUGGUGAAUAUCCAACAAGAAACUAAUGAAAUCCCAACGGAAUUACACAAUCAUAUUUCAUCAUAUGAAGCGUAAAUUUUUGAGAAAUUAAUUGUUUGAAAUACACUAAAUUGGAUGCAACUAUUCAAAAAUACAAUUUAUAAAAAUAUUAUAACAUUUGGAUUUAGAAAAGUUUACUGAUUAUUGUUUAGGAAUUAGUAUUUAAGGGGUAAGAUUGAAUUUGUAAACUUUUAUAAAUUAUUCUUAAACAUUUAUAAAUAAAAGUUAAUUUUGUUUUUUCAUAAUAAACUUAAGGUAUUUAUUAAAAUGAUUAUCAUUUAAAUGUAAAUUUGAAAAGUAAUAUCAUAAAAGUAAUAUCAAAUUUAAGGUAAAGUUAGAAUUUCCUCUAAAUUUUUAAUAGUGUAUAUAUGAAAACUCGAGGAGGAAACUUCAAAUGAAGUCGUAGAAGAAGAUCUAAUAUCAAAUGGGCUCUUUCUAUAUAGCCCAAAUACGUUCAUAGUUUGACUUUUUUUGAAUAUAUAAAACUCUAGGAGGAAACUUCAAAUUUAUCAGGAACUGAAAAAGUUCAUCAGUAAAUCAAAUCAAUUUCUAAAGAAAGCUCCGUCUCUCGUUAACAAUUUGGAACUAACCCUUCGAACCCCUUGCCUAAAAGAAACACGAACCAGAACAGAAAACCUAAAAAACAGAAUCUCUCAGACAGCAAAAACAGAGUCAGGGCAUUGCAUUUCUUAUUAGAACUGAACAAAAUAAGCGGAAACAAUUUGUUUGUUUUGUUUUCGUUUUCUAUGCCUUCAAAAGCAUGAAACUAUCUUUUUUUCAAAGGAUUAAAAUCAUGGAAACAAAGCCCUACACAACAUGAAAAGCUUUAGGGAAAAAGCAAACACACUGAAUUCAGAAUUAAGCACAAGACAAAGCGUGAGAAAGAGAGGAUAACCCUCAACAAUCUAAUUCCCCUUCCUAGCAAGCUUAGUCCAUUCCGUGUGGUACGCACCAGGACGAUCGGUCCUCUCAUACGUAUGAGCUCCAAAGAGAUCUCUCUGCGCCUGAACCAGAUUCGCAGGCAAUCUCGCACGCCUGUAAGUGUCGAAGUAGGCAAGACUCGCGCACAUUCCCGGCGUGCUUAUUCCCGCAGAGAUGGCCAAACCCACGACUCUCCUCCACGCAGCUUGCCUCUGAACCAUCUCUUUAGCGAAAUCAGGAUCAACCACCAAACUCGCCAGGUUCGGGUUCCUCUGGUAAGCUUUCUUGAUCCUGUCCAAGAACACCGCCCUGAUAAUACACCCUCCUUUCCAAAUCCGAGCCAUCUCGCCGAGAUUCAAGUUCCACUCCUUCUCCACACUCUUAGCUCUAAGCAAAUUCAUCCCUUGAGCAUAACUACAGAUCUUAGAAGCGUACAAAGCUUGCCUCACAUCAUCAAUCAACCUCUUUUUAUCAAUCCCAUGAGAUGCAGAACCAAUAUCCUCCUUCAACCCAGCUUCCUUCAACACUUUGGCAGCAUUCUCCCUCUCGUCCUUGAGUCCACUCAAGUACCUACAAUCCAACGAGGCAGCGAUAGUCGGGGCCGCCAAUCAAGUACCUACAAUCCAACGAGGCAGCGAUAGUCGGCGCCGCCACUGAGAGCUCAGCCGCCUGCUGAACAGUCCAUUUCCCGGUUCCUUUCAUUCCCGUCUUAUCCAAAAUCUUAUCAACUAACUCUCCAUCCCCAAACUCAUCCUUAACCCUAAAAAUAUCCGAAGUAAUCUCAACCAAGAAACUCUCCAGCUCACCUCGGUUCCACUCUGUAAAAAUCUCCGCAAGCUCGUCAUUGCUUAACCCCCCAACGUUCUUCAAAACAUCGUACGCCUCGGAAAUGAGCUGCAUGUCACCGUACUCGAUCCCAUUAUGAACCAUUUUCACGAAGUUCCCAGAUCCGCCUUCUCCUAUAUAAGUCACGCAGGGACCGUCCUCCACCUGAGCGGCGACUUUCUCGAGAAUGUCUUUAACGUUGUUAUAGGCCUGGAAAGAACCUCCAGGCAUGAGGGAGGGGCCGUUACGAGCCCCUUCCUCGCCUCCGGAGACUCCCAUCCCCAAGUAGAGCAAUCCUUUCUUCUCAGCUUCAACGAUUCGUCGCUCUGUGUUCUGGUACCACUCGUUACCGCCGUCGAUGAUGCAGUCACCGGGCUCCAUGUACUCGGAGAGGGCGGAGAUGGUCUGGUCAACGGGGGCGCCGGCUUUGACGAGGAUGAUGACGGAUCUGGGGCGCUGGAUGGAGAGGACGAAGUCGCGAGGGGAGUAUUGGCCGGAGACUGGGAGCUUGCCUUCUUCGGAGGCGCGAUCUAGGGUUUCGUCGACUUUGGAGGUGGUUCGGUUGUAGACCGAGAUGGGGAAGCCUUUGUCGGCGAUGUUCAGGGCGAGGUUUUGGCCCAUGACGGCGAGGCCGGCGAGACCAAUGCGGGAGAGAGCGGCGGACUCCAUUUGAGAGAGUUGGUAGAGAGAGGUUGGUGAUGGGGGGAGAGUGGCGGAGAUAUUUAUAAGGGUGAAAGUGACGGACUCGUCGAUGGAGCCAAGAGACAAAGGGGAAGGCGACUUAACAAACUGGUGAAGAGUUGAAUCUCGUUUUGUUAGGUGAGGUUGUAAGAUGCUGAUGGACUCAGAACGGUGCCGUUUCUCUAUAUUACUAUAACAUCGAUAAACCAAACCAAAUUGGUGCGAUCUAAACCAAAAGCAAUAAGUGAUUUGAACUUCCUAAUCAAAUUAUUGAUUAGUUUAAUUGGUUUAACUGGUUCGUUGAGUCUUUGACUUUGUAUGGUUGACCAAAGUGCAGUUCUCUCAUCCUAUCAGAGACAAUGGCGGACCCAGCAUUAAUUUUAAUUUUAAGGGGGUUCAAUACAUAACUAAAGAAAAAAAUUAAAAUGUGAAAUGGGGUCAAGGAGGGAUCGAACCUGAAUUUAAGGGGUGUGAACAGGCAAAAUUAACCAUCGAAGCUAUUUAAUUUCCAUGACUUCUAUUGGAUGUCAUAUGAUCUUCUUCUUCCCUUUGUGGGUCCGCCACUGAUCAGAGACAAACCUUACCAAAAAUUCACUUUUUUUCUUUUAACUUACACAAUUUGUAAACAACAAAAAAUGUUGAGAGCAAAAAGAACAAAACAGUUUCAAACGGUCAAAAAGAAUUCCACAGUCUAUGGCUUCUUAUGGUGCUUUUAUGGAUCAAGUACUAUAGUAACUUUUGUCAGAUAGAUAAAGAGACUCUGAAUUUGAGGCUUUCAAUGUUUCGUGAAUCCGAAGGUGAGGAAAACGGAAAUAGACUAUCAGUGAACUUUCAAAUGUGUUAUUGGUGAUAAUAUAAGCAAAGGCUUCCUUGUAAGGAUGCGAUAUAACCAAAUCACAUUGUUAGCUUUGGCCUCUUCGAAAGUGUAGACUCAUUACCCGGUUGCUUCCAAAUAAUAACAAGAGGCAUCUGAGAGGCUUUAUGAGUUUACUCCCAAUCUUUUCACAUUGUGAACUAGCUAUUGCUUAGGUCUCCUCACUGUCGAGCAUUAGUAUUUGGAAUACAGUUAUACAACACAAACCAAUUUCGUCAGUUUCUUUUGUUAAAUUGAUUGUUGAUGAUGCUCCACUUUAUGGUCAAUGCGAUUAUGGAAUCCUUAAGGUUUCAAAUAGAAAGGAGCUGCUUCAUCUAUUUUAUCAAAGAAGCGGUUAGGCUUUUGUAGUUUAGGCUGAUAUUCAUUUCUAAUCGACAUUUUCUUUGUACUAUGUUGUGUAUACAAUUAUACAAAGACUUGUAGUAUAGUUGUCACUCUUAAGCUCUAAUGUAUAAACUACAGUAUAACUUAGUCAACACAAGACUUUGUAAGAGUAUAGUUUGUUAAGAACAAGGAUAUGAUAUGCAAAUUACAAUUUAACUCAGUCCUGGUUAGAAUGAUAAUCGUAAUAGCUAUAGAACCUGAUAUCAAUCUCAAGAUUAACUCAUGCAGCAGAGGUUGUAAGAUGACACAAGACAUUGGAACAACAUAGCUUAUACUUUCAAUCCUCAAAGAAGAAUAAUCAAAAGUGAAACUUUGAAUAAGAAAAUCCCAGCAAACACAGAUUCGAAGCACGAGUUCGAUCUCGCAUUAUCAUAAUCUAGUUGAUUCCAUCCAGAGCGUAUAAAAAGCAUAGAUAAAGCAUUCGAAAACACAGCUACUGAAAAACAUAAAAAAGAUCCGGAGACUUACGCCAUUACUAAUGUGGACAUGAUACCAAUAAACUUUUUAGGUGUGAAAAUAGUGCAUUUGGAGCUGAACCAAAAGCCUAACUACACUAAAUCUUUUCUACAUUUUGAUGUAUCUAUACAAAGAAUAUGUCUCAAAGACAAUUUUAUAAUAAAACACAUCAUGAUUGAGAAUCAUUGGAAUCUAAGAGCAUAAUUAUUGUUGAAAUACUCUAUAAUAUCUAUUGUGAUGAAAUAUUAAUAACUUUAUAAUAUCUUAGUAUCUAAAUAACUUUUUUAAAACCCUAAAUCAAUAAAAAGUUAACAUAUAUACAUACGUAUCUCAUACCUUUUUUUAGAAUAUCUCUACUAAGAUACAUAUUUUGCUUACAAUUUUUUUUUUUGUUUUCUAAUUCUUUUUGUUAUUAUAUUGUGUAGAUACUCUCCAGUAAUUCGUAACUUUGUUGUAGAAAUAAUAGUGUAAGCUUUCAACUGACUUCAUAUGUUGUGAAUUUUCUAUCUCUAAUAAUACCUUUUUCAAGAUUCAUAUGUUGUGAAUUUUCUAUCUUUAAUAAUACUCUUUUCACAGUUUCUUGAAGGGUGUCAUCGUGGACCUGAUUAUUGUAUUUUUUCCUACAUUUUACCUUUGAGUAUUUAUAUCUUUUUCUCUAGAUUUUGGUUUUUAUUGGGCUCAUACUUCUAACUCAUGCAUAUGCUGAAUUUGCAUCUUCCCAACUUUUUUGAAUUGCAUAUCCUGAUUGGGAAUUUGCAUCCUUUUUUUGAAUUUGCAUCUUCCCAACUUUUGCAUGGGAAUUGCGGAAUUGCAAAAGUGAGGAGUAAAGAGAUAAGUAGAGUCAGAUGGAGCUCUACUCAAGUUAUUAGGAGUCGCGUGGGUAGUACGAAAUCAUAGAGGUGUUGUGAUCUGCCAUAGCAGGAGACCCUUUUUAGAGGUAAUUAAUAGGGAAGAGGCCACGUUUGCUACAAUACUAUGGGCAGUGGAGAGUAUGGUCAACUUACGCUUCAAUAAAAAAUCAUAAUGGCAGGUGAGUAUGAUGAUUUAUUUGACGCGGCAUCUCGUCCGCAAGCGUGGCCAGCCUUUGGUUUUCAGGUAGAGGAGAUUAAGCUGAAACUGUAAGGCAUAGAACAGUAUUAGUUGUUGGUUGUGAAAAAAGAAGCAAAUAGAGAGGCUACUUUCAUCACUCAAAGUGUUACAAGACAAAGACAGGUGCAAUCUUACGUCGCACAAUGACAUCCGGCUUGGCUAUUUGAGCUCUUUGUGAAUGAAAACCGCCACCUCUAAUGGUUGCUUUUUGUUGAUUGUUGUGGUCCUUGUCACUAACUGGUUUAAGAGAGAGGGCUGUGCUUUUGAGUUUGUUAUUAGGUCCCAAGAUAGCUUGGGAAGUUGUAUUGAAUCAUUUACAUAUAAUGAAUUUAAGAGGGGAAGAAAACAAGAUAGGUUUACGGUUUGUGUAACAAGGACAAGGCUUCAACAUGUUUACAUGUAAUUUUUUCGUGAGGUUAUAAGAGAGCCGAUUGGACUCAGAACGGUGCCGUUUUCCUCUAUGUUAUUGAUAAACCAAACCGAAUUGGUACGAUCUAAACCAAACCGAGCAAGACAUUUGAAUACAAAACAACAAAUAUUUCUCUCAUCCCAUCACCUUACCAAAGACUUGUUUUUUUUUUCUUUCUUAUCUACACAAUCUGAAUACAAAACAACAAAUAUUGUUUUGAAACAAGUUGAGGUAUCUUUGGAGCAAAAAGAACAAAAUAGUGUAUUUUGGUCAAGAAGACCAUUCCUCAGUCUCUUAACAUAUAAAGAAAGAUGAGACUAUAAAUUGUGAACUAUGAGAGAUUUAAUUAGCUUUUUAUUAAUUUUUGCGGACUAUUUCAUAUAUAUUUGGAUAUUAAUACACAUCAAAUUUUGAAUUCUAAUGUUUUGUAAAUUAUUUAUGAUCAUGUAUUGUAUAGUAGCAGUAUAUAUAGAUAAUAUAUCACAAAAGAUAAUAUAACAACAUAUGUUUUUUUUUCAAACGAAGAUUCUUUGAAAGCUUUUUAGUCUAUCCACUCAAACAAAUUAAAUCAACCAAUAAAAUUGUAAGAAAAACAUGUCAUUUAUAUUAAUAAAAUUUUAUAAAAAAACAAUAAAUAUGAAAAAUAAUAUUAUAUAUUUUUUGAAAUUUCAUUAUUUUAAAUAACCUUAUAUUCAAAAAAUCUAUAAGAUAAAAAUCAUUUAACAGAAGUUCACUUGAUAAAUAGAUAAAAUCUUUAAAAAAUUAGAAAAGUCGACAAACCUGGAGUUUAUGAUUCCGGCAGGAGAGGUAUUCUUUACUGCGCUCUAGCAACAAGACAGCUAGCCGAUCAGUCGUAACUGCCCCCGACAAGCAAAAUCUUAAAACACUUAAAACUCUAAAAAUUUAUAUAUGUCAAAAUAUAGUAUUGUAAAUAUAUAAAUAAUGAUAAUCAUAAAAAUUAUAAUUAUACAUCUGUCACAAAUAUUUGUUUUUGUUUGUUGAGUUUUCAAAAUCCAUGCAAAUAUGGCUUCAAAUGGUGAGAAAGAUAAACACUAGCAUCCCCUUAUUAUUAAAAAAGAAACAUUUAAAAAAAAAAAACCUAAUUUUAUGUAUUAUUAACAAAUUUGCCAUCAACCCUUUAUUCAUUAUAUCACUUAUCAUUUAUUAUAUCAUUAAUCAAAAUAUAUUAGUUUAAAUGUGUUCCCAUCAGAUUCUUAAUUGGUCAUACAUAUAGAAACCAACUAAUAGAUCGUAUAUGAAAUUUAUUAUAUCUUAUAUCUGAUAAAUAUAAUCGUAUUUGCAUUAAAAAAUAAACUGUAUUAAAAAUGUAUUUGGCAUGCACAUCCAUUCAAAUUCUUACAUAAUGAUGUCCAAUAAAUCACAAAGAAAAAAAGAUCAAACUAUUGUCAUCUUUCUAUUAUCUUAUUUUAUGUUUUUUUGUAAGAUAAUGUACAACAAAUUGAAAUAUUUAAAAGUUUGGAAAUGAAAAAUAUUAUAGUAUAAAUCUCUAGUUGUAAUAAACGAAUACUAAGUAACAAAAGAAAAACUACAUGAUUUAAAUGGUCACAUUCUCAACUAACAGUAACAUCAUUUAUUAAUCAUCUUAUAUUUUGGAACUCAGAAAAUAACUUUUUGUACAUAAUCAUCCUGUUUUAAGAUUAGAAAAUAUAUAUACUUUGUCAACUUUUCAUUGAAAUGUUAAAAACAACAUUUUUGUAUAAAAUAGAGUAGCAUGUUUUAGUCAUAAAUUAACGAUGGUCAUCUUGUUGACCAACAUAAUACUGUAUCUAAUGAUUUGUGGCCUGGGGCGUUCGGGUAUCCGUUGGUGUUCGAAUCGGGUUUUUCGGGUUUUCGGGUUUAUGCUCCUAGAUUCCAUACUAGAAUUUUAUUAGUACGGAUCAGGUUCGGAUAAUAACACUUCGGGUUCGGUUCAAAAUUGUAUUACGUCCUAAAACCCAUAGAUUAAUCAUAUAUCGUACGGAUUCGGGUUAUAUCGGUUCGGUUCGGAUAUAACCAAAGUAAAAAACAAUAAUUUUGAAGCAAAACAUAAAGAAAAAUAUCAAAAUUAAAUAAAAAUUAAUCUAUCACACAUAAAAUUAAUAAAAUAACAAUAAAUUAUUAAAUCAAGCAUGAAAACAAACAUCAUUUGUAAACAAUAUAUAUUGCCUUAGAGAGAGUAUACUUUUUAUUUCAAUGAGCAAAUUAUAAAAUACUUAUUUAUAACUAAUUGUGUACUUACAACAUUUAUUAAAGCUGUAAUAUUUAUUAUUAUAUAUCAUAUUACCACAAAUAUUGAAUUUAAUAAUUGAAAUAGUUAUAUAUAUUUUAAAAUAUUUAUAUUGACUAUUAAUUUUAGAUUUUUCGGGUUACUCGUUCGGGUUCGGUUAAUAACACUUGAGUUCAGAUAGUUUUUGUACCACCCUACAAGACCCGUUCAGGUAUUUUUACAUUUCGGAUCGGAUAACGGAUCGGAUAACGGAUCGGGUUUUUCGGUUCGGGUUAAGUUCGGAUUUCGGGUUCCGGAUUUUAUGCCCAAGCCUAAUUGUAUCCAAUGAUUUGCUUAUUUGCUCUUUUUUUUCAGUUUGUAGAGUACAGUAAAAAAAGAGGUACAAUAAUACUCCUUUUCUAUAUAUGUAUGGAUCUAAAGAAGGUGAGGUGCACUUGCUUCCAAGAAUUUUAUAACAUUUAUACAUGGUUAAAGUUAAUUUCGGAUAACUGAAGAGAAUGAAUUCCUUUUAUUUGCACACGAAAAAAUAAAGAAUUCGAUGCCUGAAGGCCCUGAACAUUGAAAAAUGAGAAAUUGCAUUGAAAUGGUAAAAAAAAAAACUAUUUCUAAUACCGUAUUUUUUUUAUAAUUAGGCAAUAUUUAAAAACAAUUCUAAUAUCUUAUUAAUAUUUUUAUAAAAACACUAUUUUUUACUUUCUUAAAUAAUUCAUUUAUUGAUUAUCAUCAAAAUCACUCAUAAAAAAAUAAUAUCUGAUUAGCCCUUCAUAACAAACGUGGUCAAUAAUAAGAGGUGAUGUCAAAAGAUAUAUUUUUUGUCAAUAUAGUUUUCUGUAUCUUUUACCUUUUUAAGAAUUUUUUUAUGAAUCAAUGAAAUAUCAAACUGUCAUAAAAAAGCCACACAAAAUCACACAAUAUUUUACUAAUAUGAUGGUCUUAGAAAAAUAAUUUAAGAUUUUGUAUUUUUUUACACAAGCAGGAUAUAUUUGAAAGUUCUAAAUUUAUCAAAUGAAAUGCUUAUCGUGAUUUAAGUACCUAUGGAAAGUUGAAAUUUCCCACCAUUCUUUCUGUAAAUUAAAUGGUGAUAUCUAAGUUUGAAUUUAAUUUUACUAAAAUUUCAAGAAUGAACACGGCCCUAGUUAAAAAAAAAGAAUAAAUAUUACCCAAAUAAGAAAACAGUUCGCUCGUCAAAGUAAAAAUCUAUUUGCAAUUCUAUAAAGUAAAUUAGGGGUAGGCGUUCGGGUUCGGAUCAGGUAUGUUAGAUUUUCGGGUAUUUUGGUAUAGAGGUGUAGAUCCUGUUCGGGUAUUUCUGUACUUCGGAUCAGGAUCGGGUAUUUUUGGUUCGGAUUCGGUUAUUUCGGAUCGGAUUCAGAUAUUUAGAAGUUGAAUAAAAUAAUUAAAUUUUUUAUUUCUCAAAUUUCUUGUAUCUAAAAAUAUAACUUUCAUUUAACUAUUUUUUAUUUUUAAUAGAUUGAAUGGUUAAUAGAUUUAGACAUUACAUUUUGAAACUAAAAAUACAUUAAUUUGGUUGUUGUUUUUAAAUUUUUGAGGUAACUUUUUCUUAAUUUUUGAAAUAAAAAGCUUGACAUGCAUUUUAAGUGUAGUAUCAAUAUAAAUAUUUUAUAUAAAAUAAGAGAUGUAAACUAGAAAUAUAAAGUUAAUUAUACAUAUGUUCGGUUAUCUUCGGAUAUCUAUUCGGGGUCGGAUACUACCCGUUCGGAUUCGGAUAUCCAAUCUCUUCUAAUUCAAUACCCGUUCGGAUAUUUUGCUACUUCGGUUCGGAUUUCGGUUUGGUUUUUCGGAUCGGGUUCGGAUGCGGCUUCGGAUAUCGGGUAAAAUGCCUACCCUAAAGUAAAUGAUGAAAUCUUAAAAAUACUAAAAUAUCUUCAACAUUAAGGUGUACACGUCCGAUUAAAUAAUCCACCGAUCAAAAUACAUUUCAGUGCCACCUCCCUUAUGAAUUACCAUAUCAAUUUUAUAUCAGUACUAAUCAAGAGAUUUGCGCUUCUCCGGAAACGAUUAAUGAUAAAGACCUUUUUGCCUUUCUUCUUCCAAAACGAACAACUUCCAGGCUUAUAACUCUUAUUUUUGCUUUGGCACUUUCCAAACUUUUUUUUUUGUUUCAGAUUUCUAAUUAUAACAUUGAUUCUUGAAAUCACCUCCUUUGGUAAAAAAAGAAAGAAUUGAUGGUUGAUGAGUCUCACAGAGUAAUCGUUACUUUAUGUUUCUCCAGAUUUUUCUUGCUGAUGAGUGAUGGUCGUGUAAUUCAUAUUCAUGUCCUCAUAAUCAGCUUUGCAUCCACAAGAAUCUUCCUUCGAAUAAUCUGAGAGCAACCGAUGCAUAUAUUUUGAGGAUUUUCCCCAAAUCUUAUUUAUCUUCUACCCGUUGGUAGAGUAGGAGAAUCUCAUGUUUGUUAUCUGAAUUAGGAGACCAAAGCAGAGGAAGAACUUGAACGGAAGAAAAGAAGGAUGUCAAGGUUUGGUUUGAUUUUUUUUUUGGUUCUCUUCAAAUGGUAAGAAUCAACGUAGUUAGGAUGAGCCCAAAGUUGUUCUGAUCCAGGUUUUUCAGGAGGUUAAAGAGGAAGAUCUUGAGGAUUUUUUUAUCAGACAUGCGUAUUUGGAUCCAUGGAAAAUCAGCAGAUGUUUUGUAAAGAUGUUACAAGACACUAGAACUAACUGAUUCCAUACAGACAAGAACAAGACAUAAUGAGAAACAACAUAAAUAAACUUUCAAUUCUUAAACAAAAGGUUAUUGCUAAAUAAACUUUCAAUUAUAAAACACCAAUCUAUUGUCGUUCUUACGGUUUGUUCUCUUUUUUCUUUUUUUUUUUUCGAACCCAAUGUUAUGAUAUUUAUCAAACAAAUAACAAAACUUGUUUGGUGGUAAUUAACGUUGACAUGCUCUUGUGUUGUUCAUGUACAAAACAGACAGAGCAAAGUACAAGGCUACUGGCCUGCAAGAAACUGGACGAAAAAGUAUGACAUGGGCUAACAAACAAAACAUUUGUUUGCUUCAGCAACAAGUUAUUUUUUUAAGCCGUACUCUUGUCUUGUUUUUAACUUCAAAUAAUAAGCUCAAAGUGUCCUUAUUGUCCGUUUGUACGAUAUGUUUAUGGUUUUUAUUCCUUAAUUUGACAAUGGAAGCUUUUAUUCUUGAAGGUAUGUUUGCUAAUAUGUAUAUCGUUCAUUAUAAGUUUAUUUAAGCUUGGUUGGUUCAUUAUGCAUGUUGUCCGUUCAUUGUCUGAUCUUUAUGCAUAUCGUCUCGGUCUACAUAAAACACCGGUUGGUUCAGGACAUCGUGUUCACUUUUUGGUAAAAUAAACCCGACAAAUAUUAACUAUGAGUGGUCCAAGGCUUAAAAAUGCCACCAACUCAACCACAGUGAAUUUUUCGCACACUCUCGAUAAGUGUGUCUAGUCUAGUCAAGAUUAGAAUAAGUAUAGUUUUUAGAAUCUAUCGAAUCUUCAUUUAAGUCUUGCAUAUGUUUAGAGUCAUGUCUAUUCAUGUGGGGAUUGUUGGACCUAAUUAUUAAAGACUAAUGGCUAAAUUAAUAAUAGGCAAAUCUGUGAAUACAAAUGGGCCUCGGCCUUAUGUGUUUUAAUGAAAGAAAGGGGAGAGAGAGAUGAAGGCUCUCCACGCGAGCCGCCACUGUCCGGCCGGCUCUGCUGGCGUGGGCAUGUGCUUGGGCGUGGGAGUGUACUUGGGCUUGAUCUUGGGUCUUGGGUCUUGGUGGAAGGCCUCCGGGCCAAUAAGAUUCUUUUUGGACCAAGUUAAGCUCUAACGUUUUUUACCCAUUUAAUACUCAAAAAACAACAUGAUGUUUGUGUUUAAACGACAUGUAGUUCGUCUUAAAACAACAUGAAAUUUAUCUGUUCGCAAAAGAUCAGAACGAGUCAACAACAUAAGAAAAUCUUGCAGAGAAAGUUUCUCAACUCUCCACUCCCGAGAUUUCAGAGAUUUCGCUAACAUGCUUCGCCAGUUACGAAAUUCAAACUCUCAUUUCUUCUUUAAAUACCCGUCUUCUCUUCUUUAUUAUUUACUACUUUUUGUAUCGAAACCUUUUUCACUGCGAGAAACAUCCAGGAAAAAUUCCUUGGCGUAAGUAGUUCGAGAGUGUUUCAUAACUCAAUAGUUCGUACAUGUUGUUCACAAGUGCCGCGUGGUAAGCUACCAUGGUUUUUUCUUAGGACUCAUAUUCGUAUAGAUCUGCCGCACUAACAGAACGACUAUUCAAAGUUAAGGAAAGAGGUUCUUCUCGACUCUAUGAUUUCAUUUUCGUUUUGUUUUUGAAUCGUGUAUAUUUUUCUUAACAUAGUUUUUUACUAUAUCGUUUGUUUUGAUCCGGUAUUCCGGGUUGUACAAUUAGGUCCCAAGAUAGGUUGGGAAGUUGUAUUGAAUCCUUUAACAUAUAAUGAAUUUAAGAGGGGAAGAAAAGAAGAUAGGUUUACGGUUUGUGUAACAAGGACAAGGCUUCAACAUGUUUACAUGUAAUUUUUUCGGGAGGUUAUAAGAGAGCCGAUGGGACUCAGAACGGUGCCGUUUUGCUCUAUGUUAUUGAUAAACCAAACCGAAUUGGUACGUUCUAAACCAAACCGAGCAAGACAUUUGAAAUUUCGGAUCGUAAUUUUUGAUUGGUUUAAUUGGGUUGUUGAGUCUUGGCCUUUUAUAAUCGGACCAAAGUGCAUUUCUCUCAUGGGUAUAGAGGAAGAGAUGGUUGAGAUGUUGCAAAUAGGUUUGGCUUGUGGUGACUUGAAGCCACAAGAUCGACCUAGUUCAGCAGAUGUUUUGUAAAGAUGGUACAAGAAGACACUCGAACACUUGAUGCAUAAAGAGAAACAACAUAAAUAAACUUUCAAUUCUUAAUCAAAAGCAUCACUGGUUCUUGCUAAAUGAACAUUAUCAUAAACUAACUGAUUCCAUACAGACAAGAACCAUAGAGAACUUAGUUACUGAACAUAAAGACUAUCUAACGAAUAAGCCAACCCGGAGAAGAUCGGAAAGGAUUGAUUGAUCUGGUUUUGACGAAGAUGAUAGAUGAAAUAGGAGGAUCAGACAGGGCUAAGGAGUUGGAAGAGAUGUGGCUUAGGAUCGGAGUUCAUGCCGAUGACGAUGAUGAGAGGGAUGAAGCCGUAGUGAGUCGCGACUUUGGCCUUCUUCAGAGACCAAUUGGUCCAUUCCUUGAGGAGCUCCAACUUGGGAUAGGAGGAAGCUCCCGUCGAUCCUUUCCCUUUUCCUUUGAGCGAUUCCAUGGAUUCCGAUCUUAGAGGUUCUCUUCUCUGUCAAAAGUCUAUAGAGAUGCGCGUCUGCUGAGAUUUUU